rnacentral:lncRNA from 1 species
UGCUGGCACUAGACUUGCCCUCCAAUGGAUGCUCGUUAAGAGAUUUAGAUUGUACUAAUUCCAAUUACCAGACUCAAUGAGCCCGAUACUGUUAUUUAUUGUCACUACCUCUCCGUGUCAGGGUUCGGUAAUUUUUGCGCAUGCUACCUUCCUUGGAUGUGGUAGCCGUUUCUCAGGCUCCCUCUACGGAAUUGAACCCUAAUUCUCCGUCACCAGUCACCACCAUGGUAGGCCACUAUCCUACCAUCAAAAGUUGAUAGGGUAUAAAUCUGAAUGAUGAUUCGCCGACCUUUUAACUAAUAAAUGCAUCCCUUUUAGAAGUCGGGUUUUGUUGCACGUAUUAGCUCUAGAAUAACUACGGUUAUCCGAGUAGUAGAUACCAUCAAACAAACUAUAACUGAUUUAAUGAGCCAUUUGAAGUUUCACAGUCUGAAUUAGUUCAUACUUACACAUGCUUGGCUUAAUCUUUGAGACAAGCAUAUGACUACUGGCAGGCUCAACCAGGUAGCAUCCAUCAACGACUUUGCUCGACAUGCAAGUGUUUCCACCACAAAUGGUUAAGCAAGACCGACACCUUGGUAAAGUGUUAUUCAAGGGAACCGUUAAAUCAAAGGGACUCAACGAGGCAUACUCUUCAUCCCGUGUUCGUUGCAUGCACUGCAUCUAAGGGAACACUAGACACGAGUGAGAACGCAAGCCAUCACAAUUCACAGCUAUCACAUCACACACACCAAUUUCGAAUCAUGCAACAACCUCUAAAAGGGGUCUAGAUGGAAUGACACAUAAGAGGCGCAUGAAUACCACUUAACGGGUACGCAACACAAGAACCAUAAUUGAACGAUGGUCUGAAAUGACAUAAGGUGAACAUGGGAAGGUUUGUGUGCUGAUUGUUUAAUGGAACCAUACAAACCACUCCCAUCAUAAUUGCCACUCACGCGCCCUUCCAUGGGACAGACUCGACGAUACCAUACGAACCACUCCGUGCAAUGCCAAUGUCAUGAUAGCAAAUGAAACACAUGGUGCCGCCGGAUGCGCUUCGUCGAGCGCGAACAGAAAAGGUAACCGCCAAAAUCGAUAGGGACCAAGGUUCAAAAUUUAUCCGACUACCAAAUCCUCCCCAAACGCACUUCCGACGAACAGGCUCACCCCUAUACGUGGUGUGGCUCAACCCUUAGGGCGUCACAUGCAACAGAUACGCCUAGGUGCACACAUAUUUCCCGAGGUGCGCACAUAUUUCCGUGGCACAAGCCUUCAUCGUGCAGCACUGUUUCGUGCGUCUUACACCACCGCAACUUGACUUCAACCAUGAAAACCAUUCGCAAACACACUACUUCCGGAUGAUUGGGCUUGCGACCCUUCGUGCACAUCCUUCCGUGCAGGACUGGUCACACUUGAAGCCUUGGAAAAUCCAUGGAGAAAACACACCUAUAAGGGGGGGUGUUGAAUAGGUGUCAUGAUUAUCAAUUUCUUAUUUUCGCACCAAAGCCCUAUUCUGGAAAAAGCCAUAGUUAAUCGAUUAAAUGUAUGCCUUAAUCGAUUAACACAUACAAAACAACAAAAGGUAGUAUGGGUUCUUGCAUAGUAAGUCACCGACAAUCAAGAACAGAUAAAGUAGAUAUUUUUAUACAGAAUUAAACUAGAUACAACAACCUAACAAUAUCAAAAAUAUCAGCCAAUAUCAUACAAUAAUAAGACUUGAAAUGUAAAGAGAUAAGGGAUAGAAAAAGCCUACAACAAGGAAUUUUAUCCUGGUUCGUUCGCUGGUCCACUUGAAAACUACAUCCAGGCCUGCCCUUCUGAUCCCAAGAGAUUUUUAUUCAUUAAUAUUGAACCGAAUGUAUAGUUAAAUGCAAACUUCCAAUACAACACUUACUCACUCCCUUCUUCAAUCCAAGAACCCACUUUCCUUGUUUGACUCUCUCAAUCGCCUAAGAAAACCUUUCUUGCUAUCUAGCCCCAUCCAAGAACUCGUUCUAAACUUAAGACCUCUAAGUGUUGGUGAAGACACACCAAAUCUCUUAGGUGAUAAGACACCAAGAGAAAAAUUUCCUUAUUACAAAACAGUACACAAAACAGAUUUUUAUAAAGCACACUUUUGCUCAAAAUAUUACAAUUAAAAAACUCAAAUAAAACCCAUAUACAAAACUCACAAUAUAAUAUGAAUAUGAAUGAGUUUAUGAAGAUGCAGAAACACAUAAUUUCUACCCUAAAAUUCUCUUAAAGAAAUGCAAGAAAACAUGCAAGAAAAGAUAUGAAUGUGUAACAUAUAAACCACAUGCAAUAUGAUGACAAUUAAAGCCUAAGCAUGGUACUAUCUCUCAGUAUCUCAUAAUGCAUUUCACUAUGCCUAUAUGACACAAUCAAACACGAAAAUAUGCACCUAGAAAUUUCUAAAAAUGAAUGAUAUGAUGUGGUACACGUUUUGAAUUUGCAGUCUUUAUAGAAAACCAUUUUGAGUCCCAGUGAAUCAAUUAAAUACCCAUUUAAUCGAUUAACGGUUUGUUGGGAAUAACUGUUUUCUGGUUUUCAGUUUUCUUUUGGAACCGUAAUCACGUUAAUCAAUUAACACAUCUCUUAAUCUAUUAAUUGGCACAUUUUCAGCUUAUUAAUUAAAUGGUAAACAACCUAUAUGUUAUGCUUAUCAACAAUACAUGUUUUACCGAUAUAUUAUGUCUAAGAUGCACAAGUAACAUGUAUAAUUAAUGCUUCAAUUCAUAAUGAUAUAGAUGGAAUGUCUCAUAUAAAUGAAAUGAUUACUUUUAAGGCUUGUGAGAAUUGCAUAUAGGUUUACCUAACAUAGACUCAAAUAUCUAAGGCACACAUCUUAGACUUCUAAAAAUAACUCCAUCAAAAAACCUAGUCUACAUAUGAAACCCUUGAGUCCACGACAUGUUGAUUUGUUGAGUCAUCUCCAAGCUUUCACAAAAUCCUUGUCUUCAUCAAAACAUAGGCAAAAUCCAAAAGUGCGCUACUUGACAAUUUACACUUUCAAUCUCCCCCUUUUUGAUGAUGACAAACUCCACAUCAUAUAUUGUUUGAUGCAUAACUUGAUGAUGGUUAUAUAAUGCAUGGUUGGUAAUUCCAAAUUUAAAUCACAUUGCUCCCCCUUAAUGUAAGUGGGUAGCGAAAACAUGGAAGCUGGAUUUUAAUGUUUACAACAACCUGCAAACACAUCGAACAACAAAGCAACCUUUCUCCCCCUUUUGACAUUAUUAAAAAGAUAAACUAAUCAAUCUAGUCAAAAGUAAGAAGAGUUAUGUAGUGAUAACAAAACUAUAAUCAAUCAAUUAAUUUGGGAAUUUAACUAAUUAACCAGUUUUAAGAAGCUUGAACAAAUGCUCUUGUUAACGACACUUAAUCGAUUAAAUACAUGGUGUUAAUCAAUUAAAUGGUAAAAAGAUAGUGAAUGAACAUUUUUAAUGGCAUAGAUGGCUAUAGAAUAACUAGUUAAGCAUUGAAUGAUCAAGCAUUGAUAUCAUAGCAUGUAAACAACAGGCUUAACCAUACACGAUAGAUGCAUAUAAUUAACAUGGUCAAGAACCAUUAAACACACAUUCAUACUAUAUAUGACAUAAGUAAACAUAUGAUAUAAGCGAUUGAAAAACCAGUAACAUUCAAAGUUCAACAUCAUGCAUAUCAAGUUAUAAAAGUUCAGCACAAGUAGAUAGUAACUAUUACAAACCAAUAAAAGCAAAGAGAAAAUAUGUCUCAAAGAGAACACAAUCAUGAAAUUAGAAAAAUAAGCUUAGGUAAUCGAUUAAGAUGAAGCGUUAAUCGAUUAAAGUUCUUUGAAAAUAAAGUUUUAGCUACUAGAACUUAUUUUAAUCGAUUAAGACUUUUGGUUAAUCGAUUAACUAACAUAAGAUUUGUAGAAUCAAGUAGGUUUUUGAGUUUUAAAAGCAUGCAUAGAUUUUUAACCUAUAUUUAACUAUUUUAAGCAAACAUACAUACAUAUAGAGCUUAUUAUACUACAUCGUGAAUUAUAUUAGGAAUAGAAUGCAUUCAACAAUUAUUCAUUUUGAAGCAUAUAAGGCAUUCAACAUGCGAAGCAAAUAAUAAUCUGGUAGAUGAUUUAAUCAAAAUAUUUUUCAUCAAGGAUUCCAAGCAAGUUCUCUUCGAAGAACAUAUAAAGUAUAUCAUGAAAGGGGCUUGGUGAAAAUAUCUGCUAAUUGUUUAGUAGUUUCAACAAAUUAAAGCACACAAUCGCCUUUUUGAACAUGAUCACGCAAGAAGUGAUGCCUAAUUUCUAUAUGCUUGGUUCUCGAAUGCAAGAUGAGAUUUUUGGAUAGGUUUAUGGCACUUGUAUUAUCACAUUUGAUAGGAAUCUUUUCUAGAUUAAGACCAAAUUCCUUAAGUUGAUGCGUCAUCCAUAGGAUUUGAGCGCAACACACACCAGCGACAAUGUAUUCCGCUUCGGCGGUGGACAAAGAAACAUAAGCUUGCUUUUUACUAUGCCACGCUACUAAGGAACUGCCUAGUAAGUGACAAGUCCCACUAGUGCUCUUCCGAUCCAACUUACAUCCAACAAAAUCGGAAUCAGAAUACCCUAGAAAGGAUAGUGAGGCAUCCCUAGGAUACCAUAAUCUCAUAUUUAUAGUUCCUUUUAAAUAUCUCAUGAUUUGUUUAACAAUACUAUAAUGUGCAUCUUUAGGUAAUGCUUGAAAUCUUGCACACAUGCAAACAUUAAACAUAAUAUCAGGAUGACCCACAGUCAAAUAUAAUAAAGAGUUGAUGAUCCCUCGAUACUUGGUUACCUCAAUAGCUUUUCCCUUUUCGUCUUUUUCUAGAUAGUAAGCUGACGCCAUAUGUAUAGAAGCUUCUUUACAUUUUUCCAUGUUGAACUUCUUGAGUAGCUCCUUGCAGUUGUUCGAUUGAUGAAUGAAGAUGCGACUUUCCGUUUGUUUACUUUGUAGCCUGAGAAAGAAAGUCAGCUCACCGAUCAUCGACAUCUCAAAUUCUCCCAGCAUCAUCUCAGAAAAUUCUUUACAAAGAAUAUCAUUAGUAGAUUGGAAAAUUAUAUCAUCAACAUACAUUUGAACUAACAAUACAUGAUCAUCUAAUAUACAGAUAAAGAGGGUAGUAUCAACCAUACCCUUCACGAACCCUUUUUCUAAAAGAAAAGAGCACAAUCUGUCAUACCAAGGUCUAUGGUCCUGUUUCAGACCAUAGAGAGCCUUCUUGAGUUUAUAUACAUGGUUCAGAAAUUUAAAAUUUUCAAAGCCGGGUGGUUGAUCUACAUACACCUCCUCUUGAAUGUAACCAUUCAGAAAGGUACACUUAACUUCCAUUUGAAAGAACUUAAAGUACAUAAUCGAUGUGAAGAAUAAGAGCAUCAUAAUGGCCUCUAAUCUGGCUACAGGAGCGUAGGUCUCAUCAUAAUCGAUGCCUUCCUCCUGGUUGUAGCCUUUGGCCACUAAGCGUGUUGGAUGUUCUUUUGGCUUUGGGACCAAGUGGUGACUUCAUGGUUUGCUUGAUGGUUAAGUCAAGUCUGGGUGCACACCACUUAGAACACUUGUUACACCGCUAAGCUGCUUGUUCAAUAGCUUUGACUGUGCAGACUGGAACGUGGCCUGGUGCUUGCUGAUCUGGUCAGGAGUCUGGUUCUCCGCUAAGCUACUUUGUUCGAUCGCUAAGCUGCUUGUUCAGAAGCUUGGGCAUGUGCCUAGCUUGUGUCUGACAGUGUCAAGCUGAUUUCUGACCGUGCUAGGACUAGACUGGUGCUAGGUUGAGCGGCCAAGAAGGUCCGCUAAACUGCUUGCUUGAGGAGCUUGGUCUAGGCCAGGCUAGUGUCCAGGUCAGCUUAGCGUGGCUUGGUCCACGCUUAGCUGCCUGGUUGAGCACCUUGGUUUUUGACUUCUUUUUCUUUUUGACCAUGAGCCUUUUUUCUCUUCUUUUCUUCAAUCUAAAUCCUACAAAAUACAUAAAAAAGAAAUACACACACAAAUAUACAAGAUUGUGAUAUUUUAUACAAAAAGUGUUGUUUUGAGUUGGUUUUUCUCAAUUAUGCUUAAGAUAAGUGCCAUAAAAGUGUAUGAAUUUUAGGUAUGUUUAGCACUAGUGCACAACCUCAAUGGCCUCAUCGAUGGUCUUUGGCUCGAUCAGAGAUACUAAAGCAACGAAGUUACAGAAAUUUCAUAAAGAACUAUGGGAAACCACUCCCAUAGAGAUAUCACCUAUAACUUUAUCAAGUGGAUGAUCUUUCUUGGUCUUACACACAAUCGGCAAGUCCUAAUACUCAUCAUGGACAAUUUGCUCUGCUCUUCUUCUUUGUCCUGGUCCAUGCCCUUAGAGUAUGCUUCUUCUAAAGCACCUGCAACAUCAUCAGAAAAUACCUUUCUCUUCUCUUUUGGAGAAGAUUCAUUAAAAUGAACAUGUACAGACUCUUCUACUUGCAUUGAAUAUUUAUUAAACACUCAAUAAGCUCUACUAUGUAACGAAUACCCCAAAAAAUAUUCCCUCAUCCACUUUUGACUCAAAAUUUCCUAAUCCUCUUUUUCCAUUAUUUAAAGUAAAAAAUUUACAUCCGAAAGCAUGAAAUUGAGCAAUAUUCGGUUUUCGACCUUUUAAAAGUUCAUGUGGAGUUUUCAAAAAAGUAGGCUUCAAGAGUAUACGAUUUAUUACAUAGCAAGCAGUAUGCACUGCAUUUGCCCAGAAGUACUUAGGAACCUUGCUUUCGUUCAGCAUGGUUCUAGCAAGCUCCUCUAGAACUCAAUUUUUCCUCUCAACAAUUCCAUUUUGUAGAGGAUUACAAGGAGCCGAGAACUGAUGCAUGAUACCAUGUUUAUUACAAAAUUUAUCAAACUGGUGGUUUUCAAACUCGCCACUAUGAUCAGAUCAAAUGUAUACAAUUUUAAGAUUGAACUAAUUUUGGAUUUGUUUGGCCAGGUUUUUGAAAGAUUUGAAUGCAUCACUCUUAGAAGAUAAAAAUAGUGUCCAUGUGAAUCUAGAAAAAUCAUCAACAAUUACUAAGGCGUAGAAGCUACCACCAAAACUCAUAAUCUAUUAUGGUCCAAACAAGUCCAUAUGGAGAAGCUCGAGUGGUCUUGUUGUGGAUAUUACAUUCUUUUAACCGAAAGAGUUUUUAACUUGUUUACACUUUUGACAAGUGUCACAAGUUUCCUGAUUUCUAAAAUCUAGUUUUGGUAGUCCUUCAACCAAAUCAUUUUUAGAUAAUUUAUCUAGAUGCUUUACAUGAAUAUGAGCGACGCGCCUAUGCCAAAGCCAAAUAUCAUCUUCCUUAGAUAUAAAAUAUUUUGAAAAUAGUGUCGUGACAUCCUCCAGGUUAACCAUAUAGAUGUGAAUAAUACGAUAUCCGACAAACUUAACCUUAUUAGAUAAAUUGUCACGAAUUAUACAACAUUCAGAGUCGAAAGAUAUAUGAUUACGUUUGUUGCAAAGUUGGUUGAUACUCAAUAGAUUGUACUCUAGUCCUUCAACGUAUAGUACAUUGUCGAUCACUACUUGAGUUGAUUUUCCAAUUGCCCUGGUGCCAAGUAUCUUCCCUUUGUUUUUGUCUCCAUACGUGACAAAACCUUUUUCCUUUAAUGGUAGAUCUAGGAAUUUCGAUCUAUCACCAGUCAUAUGCCUCGAACACCUACUAUCAAGAUACCAAUGAUGCCCAUGUGCUCGUAGACAUACCUGCAAAAUAGAUCACUUGCUUCUUUCGGUGCCCAAUUUAUAUUGGGUCCUUUUCUGUUAGUAACCAGGGAGUUAUCUCCCUUUUUCAUCCACGCGUAUACGCCACUCGACACACCAUACUUUCUGAUAUAACAAAAGUAGGAAGUGUGGCCAUGAGUGCCACAAUAGAAACAUGUAGAAACUUUCUUAUUAUAAAACUUUUUAUUUGGUCGAGUUACAGGUUUCCUAUAUGGUCGUUUCCUACGCGAAGGGGGGAUAUACCCUAAUCCAGUAUGGUCAUAAACGGUUCUAGUUUGACUAAGCAUAGUGUUUAGUUUGUUCUGACUCUCUUUGAGUUUUGUGAGUUUUUCAUUAAGUUUCAAAUUUUCAUUUCUCAAAGUCUCGCACGACUCACAGAUAGUUGAUUGACAUAAUUUAUCAUUUGAGCCAUCACAUGUAUUACAAGAAAAUAUUAGAUCUAAGGUUUCAUUCUCAUGUUUCAACUCGUGUAAUUCUUUCUGUAAUAGGACUAUUUUCUCUUCAUUUAGAAGGAUUACGUGUUUUCUAUCGGCACUAAUCCUAUCUAAUAUAUUUAAUUCCUCAUGCAAUUCGACAUAAGCAUUAUAUAAGUCCUCAUAAGGAGGUGAGUCAUCAGAAGAUGAUGAGGUGUUAGAGUAUACCUCAUUAUUAGUCUCCUUUGAAUUAUUUGAGUCGCAAGCUUCAUUUGUUCUGGUCAUUAGGCAUUGCUUAGCAGUCUCCUCCUCAUUUGAGGUGCUUGACGUCGUAUACUCCUCUAGUGCGUCCCAGACAAAUGUAGGCUUUCUUUGACUUGAAGUCCCGAGGAGUGCUCUUCUUCGAAUCAACUUUCUUGAGAUAAGUAGAACAUUGAAAUCUCAUGUGUCCUAGCUUACCACACUCGUGGCAAGUGAAGCGCUCUGUAUUACCUUUGCCUUUUCGAGUUGAUUCACGCGCUUCUUUCUUCUGAAAAUUUUUAAAGCCUCCUUUCUUGAAGAACAUCCUGAAUUUUCGUACAAGAAGGCUCACCGUUUCAUCAUCAAUAUCUGAAUUAGACUCAACAUCUUCAUUCUCUUCAGUAGGUUGAGACGUUGUUCCUUUAAGAGAUAUGCCAUUCCUUUUGCGGUCUGAUUCCUUGCAUCUUCAAGUGCCCUAGUUCCAUCUCGUGCUCUUGAAGCUUUCCAAAUAGUGUUGCCAAAGGCUUGGAGUCAAGAUCCGUGGAUUCCAUGAUAGCUGUAACUUUAGGUUGUCACCUCCUAUCAAGACAAUGCAAAAAUUUAUUAGUUAGUUCUCCUUUGGUGAAAUAUUUAUCUAGAGCAUGUGAAGAAGAUAUUUGCUCCUGACCUUGACACGGUUUUGAUGAAGACACCAACAUAACCUAAAAGAAGAAAUGGAAGAAUACUUAUGAAGACAAAGAAGACAAAGCUUCAAGACAAAUUAGUCUAAGUCUAAAUAGGUACUGCUAUCCUAUACUCUUGAAUAUACAAUAGUAGUAAUGCUCAAACUAUUAUUUUUAAAAGAAAAUUGAAACACUUCAAAAUACUUAAAACAAUUUUCAAAAAAUAUUGUGUAACGGGUUACUGCAUCUAAGUAAUAGGUUACCUGUGUGAGAAAAGAGUUAUCCAACUUAAAACUGAUCAGAGUAAUCCAUUUCUGUGUUUGAGUAACAUAUUACUAGUUUUAAUAAAGUUGAGUAACCAAUUACCCACUUUCUAUAAUCGAUUACUCUAAAUUGAAUUUAAAUGACCAAUGGAAAGAACGUGCGAGUAAUCGAUUACCUACUGGUUUAAUUGAUUACUGAGUGCUAUUGCAUCAGAUUUCAGAUUUCAAAAUGAAAGAUUUUCAUCCCAAACGAAAUGUCUUCACUCCAAUCCAUUCCUACCUUUUCGUAGAGGCACUAUGGGUGAUUGGAAAGUCUAUUUAAAGGCAUUGAAUCUCAUAACAAAAACACACAACUCUCAUACAAAUUUCAAAAGCUCAUACACACAUUCUGAAAUUAUUUUCUGCACUUUUCGCAACUAGUUCUUAAACUUUCAAAGUUGAUUUUUCUGAAGUUGCUUAAAUUAAAGUGUUACAAGUUUACCAACUUAUAAAGAGCAUUAUUACUAAGUAUACAAAAGAGUUGAUUGGAUUGCAAGUUAAAUUACUUUCAAACUUGUAAAGGCAAUUCCGCCAUUAUUGUACAUUCUUCAUUAUUAUUGCAGAAUACUUUCUUUCACAAGGGUGUGAUAAGAAAAGGGAUUAGAAUCAUUGUCAAGGUUUUUUUUCAAGAGUGAAUAUGGAUUAGGGAGUGUGUAAGGUACAUAGAGAUCUCGGAGUGAGAUAUUGUAAUUGCAACUCAUAAUCUUUAGUGGACUAAUCUCUUGUGCUGCAAGAGUACUGGAUGUAGCCUUCAGUGGACAAGAAGGUGAACCAAUAUAAAAAUCCUUGUGUAUUCUCUUAUCUCUUAUCUCUUUGAUUAUUUACUCGUUUAAUUUCUGCAUAUAUUUUGCGCUGCAGUUUAACUCUUGAUUUUGCAGAAAAAUUAGCCAUAAUUUUAAGUCAACUAAUUCAUCCCCCUCUUAGUUGCAAUCUCAGUCUUACAAUUGGCACUAGAGCUAUUUUUGAGUAAGUUAUUCUCAAAUCUGAUCCUAUACCAAAGAUGGCCUCAAGAUCUUUCCUAGGAGAAGGUUCCAACAUCAACCGCCCUCCAAGCUUUGUUGGAUAGUGCUAUGACUUUUGGAAAAUCAGAAUGAGGAUCUUCAUAGAAUCUCAAGAGUUGGACAUACGGAAUGCAAUUGAAGAAGGACCAUAUGAAUCCUUCACCAUAAUCAACAGUGUAAGAGAAGUAAAACCCAAAUCUUCAAGGAAUGAUGAAGAUAAAAAGAAGGUGUAGUAUGAUCUCAAAGCAAAGAACAUCCUCAUAUCAUCACUUGGCAUAGACGAAUGCUUUAGAUUAUCAAACUACAAAUCUGCCAAAGAAAUGUGGGAUACUCUAGAGACAACACAUGAAGGAACAGAGGAGGUGAAAAGAUCAAGACCCUACACUCUUUCCCAGGAAUAUGAAAUGUUUCGUUCGAAAUCUGGAGAGAAAAUUUUGGAUCUUCAAAAGAGGUUUACUCCUCUUACAAAUCAUCUUAUUGCUCUUGGUAAGAUACUAUCAAUCAAUGACUUGAACUUGAAGGUUCUAAGAUCACUCACCAGAACAUGGCAACCCAAGGUAACAACCAUUUCUGAAAAGAGAAGUUUAUCGAAAAUGUCUUUGGCUGCUUUGUUUGGUAAAUUGCAGGAACAUGAAUUAGAACUCAGCCAACUUGACCAACAUGAAGAGCAAGAAAAUAAAAAGAAGAAUAUUUCUCAAGGCGAAAGUAGACAAAUAUGAAUAAUCAGAAGAUGAGUUUGACAAGGAAGAAAUGGAAGACAUGAGUCUUCUUGUAAAGAAAUUCAGCAAGUUCCUUAAAAUGAACAAAAGUGGUAAAACUGGACAAAUAAGGAAAUUCACUAAAAACAAUGACACCUCCACUUCAAACCAAAAUUUCACAUGCUUCGAAUGUGGCAAGCCUGGACAUAUGAAGAUGGACUGUCCAAACUUGAAAAAAAGUCCUUCAGAGGGAAUAACAAAAUGAGGACUAGAUGGAGAACCUACAUUGCUUUGGAAGAUAAUGAUACCAGUUCCGCUUCUGAACAAGAAAAUGAAGAACAAGCACAUCUUUCAUUGAUGGCAUCUCAUGAUUCAGAUGAUGAAGAGGUAAAAAAUAAUCAACUAUAUUCUUCUAAAUUACAAACUACAUUGAAUGACUUGUAUGAUGAAUAUUUUAAACUCACAAAUAUGUUUGUAAAACAAAAAACUUGAAAAUAAAGUUUCAACUUUAAAUCUUGAACUUAAUAAGAUGAAUAAGAGUAGUAAAAGUUUAGAAAAGAUCAUUAAUGAUCAAGGACACUCAACAGACUGAAGAGGUCUUGGCUAUUCAAAUAGCAAUGGUUCUAAGAAACAAAGUAUCUCAACUAAGAUAAACUUUGAAAAAUAAGGUAUCCAUGCAUUUAAAAAUAGUAAAAAUAAAUCUAGGAUACAUGAACAUCAACCCACAUGUACAUAUUGCAAAAACCAUGGACAUACACCAAAUACUUGUAAAAUUAGAAAAUAUGGUGUACCCCUAGGUCAUUUUAGAUGGGUUGAGAAAGGUACUAACUGUAUAGGACCCAAAGAAUAUGGGGUACCUAAAAAAAUUUAAAUUGUUUUGCAGGAAAAUUUGAGAGACGCCUGCAACUUAUGGUACUUGGAUAGCGGCUGCUCAAAACACAUGACGAGCGAUAGAAACAAGUUCUCUGUCCUCACUCCAAGGGACAAAGGCUAUGUCACAUAUGUUUAUAACAACAUGGGAAAAAUACUUGGAGUUCGUAGAAUUAGUAAGCCACCCUCAACAACCAUAGAAGGUGUAUUAUAUGUUGAAGGGCUCAAGCACAAUCUUCUAAACAUAAGUCAAUUAUGCGACAAAGGCUUCCAUGUGAUGUUCUACCCAGAUAAGUGCAUCAUUGAAAGUAAGAAUUCUCAAAAAUCUAAACUCAUUGCUAAGAGGAUAAUUAAUAUAUAUAUCAUUGACAUAGACUUUUCUUUACCAAUAACAUGUUUAGCUGCAAAUGAUAAUCAUGAUGCAUGGCUUUGGCAUAGAAGAAUUGCUCAUAUACAUAUGGACGCAUUUGAACAAACUUAUAAAGAAAGAGUUAGUAGUUAGUUUACCCAAAAUGAAGUUUGUUAAAGACAAACUAUGUAGUGCUUGUCAAAUGGGUAAACAAACAAAAACUUCUUUUAAAUCUAUGCAUAUGGUUUCUUCUGAUAGACCAUCGCAGUUACUACACAUAGACUUAUUUGGCCCCUCAAGGACAAAAAGUUAUGUUGGUAACUACUGUGCUCUUGUUAUAGUAGACGAUUUUUUGAGAUACACUUGGACUCUAUUCUUACUUCAUAAGAAUGAGGCAUUCUUAGCCUUUAGCAUUUAUGCUAAAAGAGUUCAGAAUGAAAAAUCACUAAAAAUCGCUGCUAUAAGAAAUGAUCAUGGGAGAAUUUCAAAACUCUUCAUUUGAAGAAUUCUGUGAUGAUCUUAGUAUCCAUCACAAUUUUUAUGCUCCUAGAACACCACAACAAAAUGGUGUUGUAGAGAGAAAGAAUCAGUCUUUAGAAGAACUGGCUUGUACAAUGUUGAAUGAAACUAACCUCCCAAAAUAUUUCUGGGCUGAUGCAGUAAGUAUUGUAUGUUAUGUUUCAGACCGAGUUCUUACAAGACCAAUUCUUAAGAUAACCCCAUAUGAACUCUUUAAAGGUAGAAAACCAAACAUUUCUCAUUUCCAUGUAUUUGGUUGUAAAUGCUUUGUUUUAAAUAAUGGUAAGGAUAACAUAUACAAGUUUGAUGCAAAAGUUGAUGAAGGUAUCUUCCUAGGCUACUCUAUUACGAGUAAAGCUUAUAGAGCUUUUAAUAAAAGAACUCUAGUAAUGGAAGAAUUCGUUCAUGUAUAUUUUGAUGAAACCAAUCCUAUUAUAAAGGAUGGGUUAACCUUUGAUGAAGAGGACUUGCCAAGUUCUCAUGCUAAGGAAAUUUCGAUAAAUGAUUCUACAACUAAUUCUGAGCAUUUGAAAAUGGAUGAUGAUCUAUCUCAUCAAGAAGAGAAUAUUCACUAUGAUUUACCAAAACAAUGGUGAACCCAUCGAGAUCAUCCUAUUGACAACAUUAUUAGUGAUAUAAGUAAGGGUGUCACUACUCUUUUAAUGCUAGAAAAUGCUUGUCCAAACAUUGCUUUCAUUUCUCAAAUAGAGCCCUCCAACAUUGAUGAUGCAAUCGAGGAUGAACACUGGAUUCUUACAAUGCAAGAAGAGUUAAACUAGUUUGAGAGAAAGGAAGUUUGAUAACUUGUUCCCAUACCUAAAAAUAGGCAUGUCAUAUGAACUCGUUGAGUAUUUUGAAAUAAAUCUGAUGAAAAUGGUAUUAUUAUUAGAAAUAAAGCUAGACUAGUAGCCCAAGGAUACAACCAAGAAGAAGGUAUAUAAUUUGAUGAAACCUUUGCUCUAGUUGCUAGACUUGAAGCUAUUAGGCUAUUGCUUGCAUAUGCCUGUUCUUUAAAUUUUCAGCUAUAUUAAAUGGACGUAAAGAAUACUUUUCUGAAUGGAUAUAUUCAAGAAGAAGUGUUUGUAGAACAAACUCCUGGUUUUGAAGAUUACAAACAUCCUUCUCAUGUUACAAAUUAAAGAAAGCUCUCUAUGGCUUGAAGCAAGCUCCACGUGCAUGGUAUGAUCGUCUAACCAAUUUUUUACUUGAAAAAGGAUUCACCAAAGGGAAGGUCGACACUACACUCUUUAUAAAGAAAAUAAAUCAUCAUACUCUUCUUGUUCAAAUUUAUGUAGAUGAUAUUAUUUUUGGUUGUACUAAAGAAGUUUUGUGUAGUGAUUUUUGGCAAAAUGAUGCAAGGAGAGUUUGAAAUGUCGAUGAUGGGGAAGUUGAAUUACUUCCUUGGAUUACAAAUCAAACAACUUGAUAAGGGCAUUUUUGUAAGUCAAUCCACGCAUUGUAGAGAUGUGCUGAAAAUAUUCGAUAUGGAUGACUGCAAGCCAAUAGCUACUCUUAUGGGAUCUAGUACGUACAUCGAUACAGACGAAGCUAGAAAAUGUAUUCAAAUAUCAAAGUAUCGAGGUAUGAUUGGAUCUCUUUUAUAUUUAACUACUAGUAGACCUAAUAUCAUGUUUAGUGUAUGUCUGUGUGCUCGUUAUCAAUCUACACCAAAAGAAUCACACUUAGUUGCUGUUAAGAGGAUCAUGAAAUAUCUUAAAGGAACAACUGACGUUGGGUUGUACUAUCCAAAAGAAAGUAUAUGUGAUUUGGUUGGUUAUUCAGAUUCAGAUUUUGCUGGAUGCAAAAUUGAGAGGAAAAGUACAAGUGAUACUUGUCACAUUUUAGGAAAUGCUUUAGUCUCUUGGCCUUGCAAUAAACAAGCAUGUGUUGCUCUAAGCACUGCUGAAGCAGAAUAUAUAGCAACAAACAUUUGUUGUGCCCAAGUGUUGUGGCUUAAACAACAAUUACGAGAUUAUGGCUUAGACUUAGGCUGCACUUCUCUAAGAUGUGAAAAUACUAGUGCUAUAAACCUCACACAGAAUCUAGUUAUGCAUUCUAGAACCAAAUACAUAGAUAUAAGGCAUCACUUCCUUAGGGACCAUGUCCAAAAGAAAGAUGUGAUUGUAGAAUUCGUUGAUACUCAUAACCAACUAGCAGAUAUUUUCACUAAACCACUGGCUAAAGAACCUUUUUUUAUAAAAUUAGACGAGAAUUCGACAUUCUCUAUGAAGCUUAUCUAUCUUAACAUGAUUAUAUGAUUAUAUGUGUGCUUCAUCAUAUUUAUUUCAUGCCUACUUGUACUUAAAAGUGUUUAUUGAUGUUUAAAAAAUUCAAAUUUUGGAUAAAAAAUCAUUUCCAUAGCAUAAAUAUGCCUAAAAUUAAGUUUUUCUGGGGUCAGUAGUCGAUUACACUGAAGAGUAAUCGAUUAAAAGGUUGAACAUCGUGUUUCAGUAACCGAUUACUCGGGGUGUGUAAGAUUGCUCAAAGCUGCUGUUUGAAAAUUUUUAAAUUUUUAAAAUUUUGAGUAACCGAUUACUCAAAGUGAGUAACCGAUUACUCUAUGCAGUUAUAUAUGUGAUUUUUCUGCAUUUUUUCAAACUCGUUUUCUCUCGUGUUCAACUUCAUCAAUCUCUAAAAUCUUCGUUUUUGAUACGUUUUGGGUGAUUUUUGUGUCUAUUCAUAUCACAUUUUCAUCUCUAAACACUUCUUCACCAUCAUUUUCGUGUUUAGUGGCUUAAAUCAAAAAACCCCAAAUCUCCAAAAACCAAAAACCUAAAAGCUCAAAAACCACAAUCCAUGGCUUCCUCUUCUAGAUCAAAGAAGCAACGCACAAAUGUGAAUCAAAGGAACCAAUGAACUUCAUAUUUGGAGUCUAACCCUCUGGAUUUGACAAGACUCCUUGCUAAUGAUGAGCAACGUAAAGUCUUUGAGGAGCACUUUCACGGUGGAGUAAUCUUACUCCGAAAUACGGUAAUGAAGGGAAUUUUGAGUUUGAAAAUUUUACUUUUCCUUAUAUUUUAUGGCAACAAAAUUUUUUUGACUUCUGUUGUGAAACUAACGUCAUUUAUCCUAAACUUGUUCGAGUAUUUUAUUGUAACAUGAACUUUCGGAAAAAUCGUCUUACUUCCUAUGCGAAAGGAAAAGACAUUGUUUUGGAUUUGAAAACUUUUAGUUCAUUGUUCUGUAACAUACCCUAUCAAGGUAGCAUAACAGGUUUCAACCUUGUAUGUGAAUGAGAUAAUUAUGAUCGAAAGGAUUUCUACCACUCUCAGUGUAGAAUUUCUAAAGAGGAAAUAGAAAUGUGUAAGCAACAAGGUUUUGGUGAGACUAUUAAAAAUAGGGAUAUCAUAUCUGUUGGAUAUCUCAAACUUGAAGAUCGUUUGCUUCAUUAUUUUGUGAGCUAUGCCAUUUUGCCAAAAUUUUCAAACCAUUCUCAAAUUAGUGACAUAGAACUCCAAUUAAUGUACACUAUGAAGUUUAACAUCAAAAUCAAUUGGACUCAGAUGAUAAUGAGACAAAUGUGGAAUGUUCGAGGAAAUCAAAGCCCCUUGCCCUAUGCAAUUUUCAUAACCAAUAUUCAUGAACAUUUUAGUGUUUCUACUAAUGGGGAAACUAAGGUCCUAUUGAUCGUUGCACCUAUAAGCAUCAAUCUGAUAGACCGAAUGCACCUACUGAUCAAUCAAAACCUACCAAUCCUAACCCUCCUAAACCUCGACCUUCUAAGUUUCAUGCUCAAUCUUCCUUAUCUGCUGUCAUGCCUUCCAAUCAGAUGAUUAUGGACGAGUUGCUUUCUCUUUGAGGCUACAUCACUAACCAGAUGAAUACCUUUGAUACUCUGAAUCAAUAAAUCCAGUUUGAACUUCAUCGUCUCUCUUUUAAGCUGAGUAGCAUGGACGUUGAUGAAGAAAGCUCUAAGCUUGAGUCUUAGAUUAUGUCUAGGAUUUCUGUUUGUUUUGAUGCAUGUCUCUGAACAAUUUACUGAUUUUCUAGUUGUAAUCAUUUCAUAUUUUCAGACAAAAUUUUCUUUAUGUUAUUUUGUUGUUACUUGUGAUCAAAUAUUUGAACAUAUAUGUUUUUAUGAUAUGCAUUGCGAUAGUCGUUUUAUAUCUUAUGAAUAUGUAUGUUGUAUAUAUAUAUAUAUUAUGAUGGAAACUCUUGGCUUUUCUACUUUUUGAUGACGUCAAAAGGGGGACAAAGUUGGGAGAGUGUAUAUUCUGUUUAAAAUCUUUCAGGCACAUAACUCCAAAUGAAAGGGGGAGCAUAGAAAAUAGGGGGAGCAUACUCAAGUCAUCUCAACAUAUCUCAAAGUAUGCUGCUCUCAGAAAACUACAUUCUUAAAGAAGAUAUUGGUUUGUCAUCAUAAAAAAAGGGAUAUUGUGAAGAAGAUCUUUUCUCUUGACCUUGGAACGGUUUUGAUGAAGACACCAACAUCACCAAAAAGAAGAAAAGGAAGAAUACUUAUGAAGAUAAAGAGGGCAAAGCUUCAAGACAAAUUAGUCUAAGUCUAAAAGGAACUUCUAUCCUAUACUCUUGAAUAUACGAUAGUACUAAUGCUCAAACUAUUUUUAAAAGAAAACUGAAACACUUCAAUAUACUUCAAACAAUUUUCAAAAAUAGUAUGUAAUGGGUUACUGCAUCUAAGUAACUCGUUACUUGUAAGAGAAAAGAGUUAUCCAACUUAAAGUUGAUCAGAGUAAUCCAUUAUUGUCUUUUAGUAACAAAUUACAAGUUUUAAUAAAGUUGAGUAACCGAUUACCCAUAUGUUAUAAUCCAUUAAUCUAAAUCGAAUUUAAAUGCCCAGUGGACAGAGCGUUUGGGUAAUCGAUUACCCACUGGUUGUAAUCGAUUACUGAGUGCUGUUGCAAUGGAUUUCAUAUCCCAAACGAAAUGUCUUCACUCCAAUCCAUGCCUACCUUUUCGUAGAGGCACUAUGGGUGAUUGGAAAGUCUAUUUAAAGGCAUUGAAUCUCACAACACAAACAGACAACUCUCGUAUAAAUUUGAAAAGCUCUUAUACACAUUCUGAAAUUAUUUUCUGCACUUUUGGCAACUAGUUCUUAAACUUUGAAAGUUGAUUUUUCUGAAGUUUCUUAAAGUAAAGUGUUUCAAGUUUACCAAAGAGUUGAUUGGAUUGCAAGUUACAUUACUUUCAAACUUGUAAAGGCAAUUCCGCCAUUGUUGUACAUUCUUCAUUAUUAUUGCAGAAUACUUUCUUUCACACGGGUGUGAUAAGAAAGGGAUUAGAAUCACUUGGAAAGGUUUCUUUCCAAGAGUGAAUAAGGAUUAGGGAGUGUGUAACGUACAUAGAGUGUGUAACGUACAUUGGAUGUAGCCUUCGGUGGACAAGAAGGUGAACCAAUAUGAAAAUCCUUGUGUAUUCUCUUCGCCCUUAUCUCUUUGAUUAGUUACUUGUUUAAUUUAUGCAUAUAUUUAACGAUGUACUUUAACUCUUGAUUUUGCAGAAAAAAUGGCCAUAAUUUUAAGUCAACUAAUUCACCCCUCCCCCCCUCUUAGUUGCAAUCUCAGUCUUACAGAGCAACUAAGUGGCUUACCAUAUGUGUGAAUCUUUUUUGCAUGUCACCGAUAGAUUCACUCGACAACAUACGAAACAGCUCGUACUCAUGUGUCAGGGCAUUUAUCCUAGCAUGCUUGACUUCGCUAUUACUUUCUUGAGUCACUUGUAAAGUGUCCCAUAUUUCCUUGGCACUUUGACAUUGCGAAACCUGAAAGAAUUCAACAUAUGAUAUGGCCGAUGUGAUGAUGUUUUUAGCAUGUAGGUUGUAUAGAACCUUUUUACGCUCAUCUUCGAUCUAUAAACUCUUGGGUUUUUCUGUCGAUUCCUCGUCCACUAGAUGUAUUGGAACGAAAGGCCCGUUGACCACAGAUUCUCAAAUAUCCGAGUCAUUGACUUAUAUGAAUAUUUUCAUUCGAACUUUCUGAAAGUGCAAAGUGUCAAGAUAACAAUUAGCUUGCCUAUGUUUUCAUGUAGACAAAGGAAUUAGUGAAAGCUUAAAGAUAUCUCAACAAAUCAACAUGCCAUAGAUUCAAGAGCUUCAUAUGUAAACUAGAGUCUUAGAUAUGUGUCUUAGUUAUUGAGUCUAGGAUAGGUAAACCUAGAUGCAAAUAUCACAAGUUCUAAAAACUAUCAUAUCAUUUUCAUGAGACAUGCCAUUUAGCUAAUUAUUUGUUCAUGCAUUAGUCAUACAUGUUAUUUUUGCAUCUUAGGCAUAACAUAAUGGUAAAACAUGUAUAGUUGAUAAGCAUAACAUAUAAACAAUUUGAGGAGCGUCAGGUUGCCUACAUCGACAACCACUAUUAGGCUAUGAGGAGCUUUGUUCAGAACACUGUUGAGGCACUAAAUGAGAGAUUUUGUGUAGAAUUUGAGAAGUUAAUAUUCCUCAUCCAGGGUGAUAGUAGUCUGACCGUACCUGAUGACAGAGAUCCUCCUCUGCUUCCCUAGAUUAGAAGUUCUUAGACCUUAGAUUUCCUUAGGUUUAGUUCUUCUAUAUGGCUAAUUUUCAGGAUUUAUGCUGCUUUGUAAUUUUGAGACAUAUUUUCUCUAUGCUUUUUGGAUUGUAACUCUAACUAUCUACUUUUGAUGCACUAUUGUGACUUGAUAUGCAUGCCAUUUGAACUUAAAUCGUUACUAUUUUGGUUUUAAUUUGCUUACAUAACAUUCCUAUCUAUGUCAAAUAUAGUAUGAUUACAUGUUUAAUUGUCCUUGAUCAUGUUUGGUUAUAUGUAUCUUUUAUGUUUGAUUGAGCCUGCUGUUUGAAUUGCUAUAAUAUAAAUGCUUGAUCAUUUCAUGCUUGAUUAGUUCAGGUUUAACCUUCCAUACCAUUAAAUCUGUCAUAUUGUUGUAUUCUGUUGUUUUAAUCGAUUAUCCAUCUGUCUUGAUGGAUUAAAUGCAAAUCAAUUUGUGCACGUGUUCAAUUUUUUCAUCAACUGAUUGAUUAAUUACAUUCCCAAUAUUAAUUGAUUAAUUACAGUUUAAUUUCACUUCAUAUCUCUUCUUACUUUUGACCAAAAUUUCAUUUAGUUUAUCUUUUUGAUAAUGUCAAAAGGGGGAGGAACGUUGUUUUGUUGUUUGAUGUGUGCAGGUUGUAAAAUAAAAUUUAGCUUCCGUUGUCUAGCUAUGCACUUUAACUUUGAAAUUAACAAUCAUGCAUUUGGUGACCAUCUUCAAGCUACACAUGAAAAAAAAAUUUGGUGUUGAGUUUGUCAUAAUCAAAAAGCAGGAGACUGAAAGUGAAAAGUGUCAAGAUAGCACUUAGCUUGCCUAUGUUUUGAGGAAGACAGAGUAAUUAGUGAAAGCUUAAAGAUAUCUCAACAAAUCAACAUGCCAAAGAUUCAAGAGUUUCUUGUCUAAACUAGAGUCUUAGAUAUGUGUCUUAGUUAUUGAGUCUAGGUUAGGUAAACCUAGAUGCAAAUCUCACAAGUUCUAAAAACUAUCAUAUAAUUCACAUGAGACAUGCCAUCUAGAUAAUUAUUUAUUCAUGCAUUAAUCAUACAUGUUAUUUGUGCAUCUUAGGCAUAACAUAAUGGUAAAAACAUGUAUAGUUAAUCAAUUAAGUAAGACUUUAAUCGAUUGACGUGAAAACAGUUUUAAUCAGUUUCAACAGAUAACUGAAAAAUAGAAUUCAGUUAUUCUAAACAGCCAGUUAAUCGAUUAACAAGGCACUUAAUCGAUUAACUAGGCAUAAAACAACUUUUCUAUAUAAACUGUGUUUUUACACCAUGCUUCAUAUAUUCAUUCUUAGAAUUGCUAAGUUGCAUAUUUUCGUGCUCAUUGUAUGUUAUAUAGGUAGAGAGAAUUGCAUGUGAGAUUAGUGAGAGAUAGCAUCAUGCUUAGGAUUUAAAAUGUCAUCCAUUGCAUGUGAUUAAAUGUGUUAAUCAUUCUAUAUUUCUUGCAUGAUUCUUUAAAUUCUUUUAGAGAUUUCUUAGGGUAGAAAUUACAUGUUCUUUAUGAUUAUGAUCAUAUACAUAUUCAUAAUAAUUUAUGACAUUUGUAUACGGUUUAUAGCUUGUUCUCAAUUGUAAUAUUUGAACUAUUUUGUGUCGGAAGGGAGGAUUGGAUGUAGUUUUACAGUGAACUGCAAAACGAACCAGUAUAAAAACCUUGUUGCAGGUUGUUUCUUACCCUUAUCUUUUUAUUGUUUUAAGUUGUUUUUAAUUGCACAUUGUAGCUGGUAAUGUGAAUAUAGUAUCAAUGCCAUGUAAAGAUCAUUUAUGUUCAAAUAUAUCUACUAUAUCAUUUUGUAUAAUUUCUAAGUGGUUGUGUAAUCGAGCCAUUCAACAACUCUCUAUUAAGUGCGAUUUAGUCGAUUAAGGCAGUUCUUUAAUCGAUUAACUGGGUGAUUUUCCAGAAUAUGGCUUUGGUGCGAACAACGGUAAGUGGGAAUCGCGACACAUAUUCCCCCCCCCCCCCUUCUAGGUGUAUUCUGUCAAUGAUACUUAACACUUUCUAGUAGGCAUAACCUUCGCCACUGAAUACGGGAGGGCGAUUAAUGGAUGCCCCAUCACCACCAAAGGGGUUGGUGGAACCCAUUUGAUUUCCCUUUAGCAUCACGCGUAUAUGGUUGAGCUAGCACGUCGUACUUGCUCUGAUACUACUUGUUAGGUAUCAGUGGACAAAACACACAUAGAAGGGGGGAGUUGAAUAGGUGUCGCGAUUAUCAAUUUCUGCUUUUCGCACCAAAGCCCUAUUCUGGAAAAAGCCCUUUUUAAUCGAUUAAAUGUAUGCCUUAAUCGAUUAACACAUACAAAACAACCAAAUGUAGAAUGGCUUCUUGCACAGCAAGUCACCGACGUUCAAGAACAGAUAAAGUUGAUAUUUUUAUACUAAAUUAAACAAGAUAUAGCAACCUAACAGUAUCCAAAAUAUCAGCCAAUAUCAUGCAAUAAUAAGACUUGAAAUGUAAAGAGAUAAGGGAAAGAAAAAGCCUGGAACAGGGAAUUUUAUCCUCGUUCGUUCGCGGGUCCACUUGAAAACUACAUCCAAGCCUCUCCUUCUGAUCUCGGAAGAUUUUUCUUCACUAAUAUUGAACAGAAUGUAUAGUUACAUGUAAACUUCCAAUACAACACUUAGACACAUCCUUCUUGAAUCCAAGAACCCAAUUUCUUGGUUUGACUCUCUUAAUCGCCUAAGAAAACCUUUCUUGCGAUCUAGCCCCAUCCAAGAACUCGUUCUAAACUCAAGACCUCUAAGUCUUGGUGAAGACACACCAAAUCUCUUAGGUGAUAAGACAACAAGAGACAAAUUCCCUUAUUACAAAACAAUAUACAAAACUUAGUUUUAUAAAGCACACUUUUGCUUAAAAUAUUACAAUUAAAAAAUCAACUAAAACCCAUAUACAAAACUCACAAGAUAAUAUGAAUAUGUAUGAGUUUAUGAAGAUGCAGAAACACAUAAUUUAUACCCUAAAAUUCUCUUAAAGAAAUGCAAGAAAACAUGCAAGAAAAGAUAGGAAUGUUUAACAUAUAAACCACAUGCAAUUUGAUCACAAUUAAAGCCUAAGCAUGGUACUAUCUCUCACAAUCUCACAAUGCAUUUCACUCUGCCAAUAGGAUACAAUUAAGCACGAAAAUAUGCACCUAGCAAUUUCUAAAACUGAAUGAUACGAUGUGGUACACGUUCUGAAUUCACAGACUUUAUAGAAUACAAUUCUGAGUCUCAUUUAAUCGAUACAUUACCUAUUUAAUCGAAUAACAAGUUGUUGGGAAUAACUGUUUUAUGGUUUUCAGUUUUCUUUUGGAACCGUAAUCACGUUAAUCGAUUAACACAUCUCUUAAUUGAUUAACUCGCACAUUUUUAGCUUAUUGAUUAAAUGGUAAAUAACCUAUAUUUUAUGCUUAUCAACUAUACAUGUUUUACAGAUAUAUUAUGCCUAAGAUGCACAAGUAACAUGUAUGAUUAAUGCAUGAACAUAUAGUGAUCUAGAUGGACUGUCUCAUGUAAAUGAAAUGAUUACUUUUAAGGCUUGUGAGAAUUGCAUCUAGGUUUACCUAACCUAAAUUCAAUAUCUAUGGCACACAUCUUAGACUUCUAAAAAUAACUCUAUCAAAGAACCUAGUCUAGAUAUGAAACCCUUGAGUCCACGACAUGUUGACUUGUUGAGUCAUAUUCAAGCUUUCACUAAAUUCCUGUCUUCAUCAAAAUAUAGGAAAAAUCCAAUAUUGAUCUACUUGAAAAUUUACACUUUCAAGUGUCUUGCGAUGCAUUCACCGAAAUAGGGAAUGCCACUGAAGCAAGAAUCUCAUGUGAGGCACGGGUCACUUUCACCAAGCCCUCAGAACAUGUGUCGUCACUUUCACCUGCCACUCGGAAAGUGUUGAUGGCAUAAGUCUAUUUCACCUAGCACUGGGAAAGUGUGUAUGGCACGGGUCUAUUUCACCUAGCACUUGAAAAGUGUGUAUGGCACAUGUCUAUUUCACAUAACACUCGGAAAGUGUGUCAAUGCCUCAAUUUCACCUAGUAGCACUCAGACAUAUGUGUCAUGGCCAUCACUAACACUUCGAACGAUGUAAUUUCUAAUUAUAUAAACUACUGCUAACCGUGACUUGGACAUCAUGAUACAUUUAGUUCUACUUGAAAAACCAUACCACAGUUAACAACUUCAUCAUAGCCCAGUUAAAACCAUAGUGUCAUGGUCGUCACCCCGCACCCCCAUGUGGUGGGCCACCCCCCUCCACCCAUACCUCCAAGCCGGAGUCCCAGCCCAAGUCUGUGACUCGACCCUACGGCUGUGACCCUUACAUAGUGAAGGUCAUGGAAUCCAUGACUUGGGUGGGGGUGUCAUACGAUAGGCCACCCACCAGACGAAUAAGGGACUAUGUGUCCAUCAUGGACUUUGCACCUAUUCGACUAAUCGCACACACGAGUUACUGUUCUGCAACCCUCAUUGGGUAUACGAACUAGAACUUAAAAGGUUCGAGACUGGUGGCACAAAAAAAGGCGACAGGAGAAAAAUCAAAGUGGAUCAUAACAGCAAGUCCACUAUGCAUGUUUCGAAGUGCCCUGUUAUUUAAGUCACUGAAAAGACUCUUGGAGCGCAUGUAGAGAAUGUUGCUGCAAGGCGUCCCGCAUAAAUCUCUUAACCAGGGCAGAUCACAAACCGAAUGAGACAAUGUUGGGCAAAAGCCCCAUGCUGCUUCUCAAUGGUGGGCCACUUAAGUACUUCCAUUUAGGCAUCACCUAAUCCUUCGGUGCACAAUGGUCACAUGAGAAUCUUGGGCACAUCCACAGGAUGCCCACAUGUACAUACCUCGCCAUCGUGUCACCGAUCCAGAUCAUCACCAGACCAUAGUUUAGCGAGGGACGAGCCUAUGCAUGGCACGUUGUAGCUUGGGUCACACACCACCACAGUGUGACUUCAAAAUAUGCAAACCAACAACAACACAAUUACGAACGAUUGGACUUGUGCCCAUUCAUGUUGUGGCUCUGCUGCUUAAGGCUUCACCUAACACGACAUCCUUCCAUACAAAACGGGUCACACUAGAAGCUUGGGAAUGUCCGCAUGACGGAGACAACUAACCAACUCGGCAUUGUGCGACCAAACCAGCACGUCAACGGACCAUGCUUUCCCAAGGGACAAGCCUACACAAGCUACAUUCUUUGCUCGAGUCAUACACUACCACACCUUGACUUCAAUCGUGCAAACCCGCCGAUAACACACUUCGGGAUGAUUGGACUUGCGCUCCUUCAUGCAGUGGAUCUGCUGUAAGGGCUUCACCCAACACUACAUCCUUCUGUGCAUAACGGGACACACUAGAAGCUUUGAAAAGUCGGACAGAGGCCCGCAACUACCCAACCAACAUCAUGUGACCAAACCAGCACCUCAACACCACACACUUUUCCAAGGUACUGGCCUACACGAGACACUUUGUUGCAUGAGACAUAAACGACUGCACCUUGACUAAAACCAUGCCAACCUGCCCAUAACACACUUAUGGAUGAUUGGACUUGUGCCCCUUCAUGCUCUGACUGUGCUACUAAAGGCAUCACCUAACACCACAUCGUUCCGUGCAUAACGUGCUACACUAGAAUCCUCAGCACCUACGAGCGAUGCCCGCAACUACCCAACUCGGCAUUGUGUGACGAAUCCGACACCUCGAUAAGAGGGACUUACACAUCAAGAAACUUACCAAAAGAAUGUGAGCUAGUGGUCCAUGAAGUUUCACGAUUUUUCUCCAAGCCGAUAAUUUUUCAUAAUUUUUCUAAGUGACGAGAUUUACAUAAUUCUAGAAAAUUAGAUAAUGAGUGUGUAACAUGUUUUUUGAGUUUUUCUUUUGCACGAAUGCUAGGAACAUUAUUCUAAACAUUUCCCAAAGUUACGCCCAUGUUACAUCGAGGCAUUUACCUGAAAUGAUUUUCCACCAAAGUGUGGGACACGCGGAGGUGCAAGGACAUGCAACAUUACCUAGGGGUUGAAUUCUUACGUGAAACUUUGCUAGCAACCAUGGCUAAAAAUUAUGGGUUCCCUUCCAAAUAUGGAGGCAUUUCAUGAAGGGCCAACGUCAUAUGAUGCUUUCACCAAAAUAGGGAAUGUGAGAGAAGCAAGAACUCACACAAGGCACGGGUCAUGGCGAGGGUCCCUUUCACCAAGCCCUCGGACCAUGUGCCAUGGCAUGGGUCACUUUCACCUAGCACUCGGAAAGUGUGUAAUGGCCUCAAUUUCCCCUAGUAGCACUCAGACACAUGUGUCAUGGCCUCUCUUUCACCAUGCAUUCAGGAUCACGCACGAGGAACCAUACCAUGCAAAAUGCACCCCAACCAUCAGACACAAUGAACCACACACAAGGCACCAUGGGGCAUGGCCAGAGGCGAUGUCGCACUCCACAUUGUUAGUGACUUUGUCUCUACCGUGUUCUUGCGGAACAUGGACUUUGCUCCUACUCGCCUCGUCGCCCAUACAAGGUGCGAGUUCGUAACCCUUGUAGGGUGUACGACCUAGCUCAGAAAAAGGUUUGAGAUGGGAGGGAUGAAUCGAAGCGACAAGGGCUGAAUCUCAAUGGAUCAUCAUCACAAGGCCAUUCUACCACUUACAAUACCCUGUCGCCUAUUUAAAUCGUAUGCAAAGGAUUCUACCUGCCGCCUAAUGGCGAAUAGAGCUUCAAGGCGUCCCGCGAGGCUCAUCCACCCUACGGGGCUCACCAACGGCACGUCCCUCUAGAGGUCAAGGCCCCCUACUACUAGUCGGCAAACAGGCAACGGGAACACACAUCGCUUCUAGCCCAGAAUCUAACUUAGAGGCAUUCAGUCAUAAUCCAACACACGAUAGCUUCGUGCCACUAGCUUUUCAACCAUGCGCGAUGACCAAUUGAGUGAAUCAAUGAUUCCUCUCUUACUAGGUUGAAUUACUAUUGCAAAUUGUCAUAAGUAGAGUAAAACUAACCUGUCUCACAAUAAUCUAAACCCAACCCACGUUCCUUAUUGGUGGGUGAACAAUCCAACACUUGGUGAAUUCGGCUUCACAAUGAAAGGAAGAGUCGAUAUCGAAGGAUAAAAAAGCAACGUCGAUAUGAACGCUUGGCUGCCACAAGCCAGUUAUCCCCGUGGUAACAUUUCUGACACCUCUAGCUUCAAAUUCCGAUGGACUAAAGCAUCGAUAGGCCAUGCUUUCAUGGUUUGUAUUCGUACUGGAUAUCAGAAUCAAACGAGCUUUUACCUUUUUGUUCCGCACGAGAUUUCUAUUCUCGUUGAGCUCAUCUUAGGACACCUGCGUUAUCUUUUAACAUAUGUGCCGCCCCAGCCAAACUCCCCACCUGACAAUAUCUUCCGCCCAGAUCGACCGACCGAGGCCGACCUUAGGUCCAAAAACAGGGAUUGUGCCCUGCCUCUGAUUCACGGAAUAAGUAAAAUAACGUUAAGAGUAGUGGUAUUUCACUUUUGUUGUUUCUAGCUCUCACUUAUCCUACACCUCACAAGUCAUUUCACAAAGUCGGACUACAGUCAAGCUCAAUAUGGUCUUCGUUCCCUGCUGAUUCUGCCAAUCCCGUUCCCUUGGCUGUGGUUUCGCUGAUAAUAGACAAGGAUAGUGGGAAUCUCAUUAAUCCAUUCAUGUGUGUCACUAAUUAGAUGACGAGGUAUUUAAUUAGAUCUCGUUAAUCCAUUCAUUAAUUAGCUCGAAGCAGUCCACCGAUAAUUGACGGGUUAAGGACUGAGACCCACGUGUCGAGCCCUUAGAGCCAAUCCUUUUCCCGAGGUUACAGAUCCAUUUUUCCGACUUCCCUAGCCUACAUUGUUCCAUCAACCAGAGGCUAUUCACCUUGGAGACCUGAUGUGGUUAUGAGUACAACCGGGCACGGGAGGCACUCGGUCCUCCGAAUUUUCAAGGGCUGUCGGGGGCGCACUAGACACCAUGCAACGUGCGGUGCUCUUCCAGCCGCUAGACCAUACAUCCGGCUGAGACAUUUCCUGGGUGGUCAUGCUAUUAAACAAAAAAAAUAACUCUUUCCGUGGCCUCUGCCGACGUCUCCAGACUCCCUAACGUUGUCGUCAGCCGCCACAUCCCGGUUUAGGAAUUUUAACCUGAUUCCCUUUCGGAGUGCACACUUAGAGCGCUAUCAUACAGGCUUCCCCCAUCCCUUAGGAUCGACUAAUCCAUUUCCAAGUGUUGUUCACAAGACGAUUCGAUUAGUCUUUUGCCCCAUACCCAAGUCAGACGAACAAUUUGCGCAUGAGUUUUCCUCUGGCUUCGCCCCGCUCAGGCAGAGUUCACCAUCUUUCGGGUCCCAACAGAUAUGCUCUCACUCGAACCUUUCAUAGAAGAUCAAGGUCGGUUGGUAGUGCAACCCACAAGGGCAUCCCAUCAAUCAACUUCCUCGCGUCUUACAAGUUUACUUGCCCACUGACUCACACACAUGUCAGACUCCGUGGUUCGUGUUUCAAGAAGGGCCGAAUUGGGGAGCCCUCAGGCCGACGCCUGGAGCACGACGGUGCCGAAGCAUAUCAAACGUUGUGCGCUUCCAACUGUAAUCGAGAUGAUAACGUCUCCGCGAUCAUGUCAACAUCCUGAGCUUGGGCCACCAUCAUAAUUCUCGUCGGUCCAUGCCCCAAGUCAACUGGUGGACCAACUCUCGCCAUUUCGCAUCCAACCGAGGCACAUCACAGGCCCUCAUCUGCUUCCCUCCCGACAAUUUCAAUAACUCUUUGACUCUCUUUUCAAAGCCUUUUUCAUCUUUCCCUCGCGGUACUUGUUCGAUAUCGGUCUCUCGCCAGUAUUUAGCCUUGGACAGAAUUUACCGCCCAAUUGGGGUUGCAAUCCCAAACAACUAGACUCACCGACAGCGCCUCAUAGUGCAACAGGGUCCAGGGACGACGAGGCUCUCAACCUCUCUAGCGCCCCCUUCGAGGGGACUUGGGCCUGGUCUGCCACUGAGGAUGCUUCUCAAGACUACUAUUCGGACACCGAAGGCGACCAAUUCUCAUGGUGGACUUUUCCUAGUUUGGUCGCCGUUACUUUGAAUCCUUUUUAGUUUCUUUUCCUCUACUUAUUGAUAUGCUUAAACUCAACGGGUAGACCUGCUUGGCCUGAGGUUCCCGUAUUAGGAGGCCAACAAACCCCCAUGGAUCAAAUAGUCGUAAAGCUCGUGGGGGUGAGACGCACGAUCGGUCUCGAGCUUUAGCUUAGACAUCAUCCAUCACGGCUCCCUCCACCGUGGACUCAGUUUUCUACCAACCGUGAGACAUUGCUAGCGGGAUGCCACAGUUCGCCCCGCUUGGUGCCUAGUACGUAGCCAAGGCACGGGGCAACGAUGUGCAACACCCAGGAAGGUGUUCCCUUGGCCUAAUGGCUUCAGGCACAACUUGCAUUCAAAGACUUGAUGGUUCACGGGAUUCUGCAAUUCACACCAAGUAUUGCAUUUCGCUACGUUCUUCAUCGAUGCAAGAGGCAAGAUAUCCGUUGAUGAGAGUCUUUAGGAUUAGUGUGUCGCAACACCGCCUGCACGAGCACCGUCUCCAGGAUGACGGGGGCGAACUAAACAAUUUCGAUUUCCUUGGCGCGUUCUGCAUCGGGGUUUUAUUAUUAGGUUAGAAGGACACCACAGAGGGUGUAACGCCUCCUGACAUGAGGGGGACUGAGGUGCCAAACACCUCUAGCCACCCCUGAGGAGUAAAACAGAUUGACAGGGUCGCAUUGCUUGUGAGGCUUUGACAAUGAUCCAUCAGCAGGUUCACCUACUGAAACCUUGUUACGACUUCUCCUUCUACUAAAUGAUAAGGUUCAAUGGACUUCUCACAAUGUUUCCGGCAGCGAACCGCCCACGUUGCCGCAAUCCGAACACUUCACCGAACCAUUCAAUAUGUAUGAGUGACAAGCAGUGUGUAUAAAGGGCAAGGACAAAGUCAAUGUGAGCUGACGACUCAUGCUUACUAGGAAUUCCUCGUUGAAGACCAACAAUUGCGAUGAUCUAUCCCCAUCACGAUGAAAUUUCAAAGAUUACCCGAGCUUGUUGGCCAAGGCUAUAGACUCGUUGAAUACAACAGUCUAGCACACAUGCAACAAGGUGAUCUAAGAACAUCAUAGACCUGUUAUUGCCUCAAACAUCCAUGGCCAAAGCGGCCAUAGUCCCUCUAAGAAGCUGGUCGUGGAGGGUUACCUCUACAUAGCUAGUUAGCAGGCUGAGGUCUUAUUCGUUAACGUAAUUAACCAGACAAAUCGCUCCACCAACUAAGAACGGCCAUGCACCACCACCCAUUGAAUCAAGAAAGAGCUCUCAGUCGGUCAAUCCUUACUAUGUCUGCAUGUGGUUAGUUUCCCCUUGUUGAGUCAAUUAAGCUGCAAGUUCCACUCCUAGUGGUGCCCUUCUGUCAAUUCCUUUAAGUUUCAACCUUGCGACCAUACUCCCCCGGAACCAAAAGCAACAUCUGCUGGUCCCUGGUCGGCAUCGUUUAUGGUCGCGACUAGGACGGUAUCUGAUUGUCUUCGAGCCCUCAACUUUUGUUCUUGAUUAAUAAAAACUGUUGGGUCCUAGUGAGGUAAGAUUACACCUAGAGGGGGUGAAUAGGUGUAGUGGAUCACUAAUCCCGUUUUUCUGAUAUUUGCACAUAAUACAAAGUUGCUGCAAUUAAUCCAUUAUCAACAUGGUUAAUUGAUUAAGGAUAGUUAUGUUAAUCGAUUAUAAUCAGUACGUUAAUUGAUUAUUCUGGUUGUUACUCUUUGAAAGAAAUAGUUCUCUUGCUUUGCCAAACAAUUAUGAAAUUAUAUCUUGACUAACUCAAUAUUGAUUCGUGAUUAUCAGCAAAUUAACAAUUAAUCACAUAAUGCAAUUUCAACACAGAAAGUAGUAAAGAUAUAAUCUUAAAGAUAUAGGGAAAUAGAAAAAUGGGCUCGAGGAUUUUAUCCUGAUUCGUUUACGAAUCGACUUGCAAACUACAUCUAGGCCUCCCGGUUGAUCUGGGAGAUUUUUCUUUACAAUUAGAAAUGUAAUUCAGUUACAAACACACUUCCAAUAUUCCUAGACAGAAAAUUCCUUCUUGAACCUGUUGAGCCACCAAGCUCAGUUUGACCUCUAUCUACGCCUUCUUGGAUACCAAACCGUUCGCGCAAUCUGGCCCCAUCCGACACUCUUUGCUCAAAUCAAGACUCCCUAUCUUGUGAAGAUCCCUAAUUCUCAACUUGUGAUGAUCCCACACACCAUGAGAAUUAUCCUCAACUGUAAUGAAUUUUUCCGAGUUACUUUGCACACAAGAUUGUGCGAAUUACGACAAUUAAAUCGGCUCUUCUACAACCCUUGACAGAAUGAUCUCACAAACAGCCCUAAGAACUAAGUAUAGAAAUCAUGCAAGGUAUUUCAACAGAAUGAAAACUGUUGGCACAUUGAAAUGACACUCUUUCUUUUCUCUCUUUUCACUCAUGAAAAAGUUUGGAAUAAAAACUUCAAAGAAUCAACACACUAGCUUUGAAAACUUUAGCACCAUGAAUCUUUAUUUUUCUUUUCUCUCAGUAAUUUUUGAUACUCCAUGAAAGCGUGAAAAGAAUUGCUUUAAAACUGAUUUAAUUCUGUUGCAAAAUAACAGAAUUAGUUCAUAAGGCACAACUGAUAUUAAUCGAUUAAAUGGCCAUGUUAAUUGAUUAACGGGUUUCUUGAAAACAUAUUUUCAGUUAUGGCUUAAUCCAUUAAAAGCUUACUUAAUCAAUUAAUAAACAGAAAUCCUGGGAGGUUAGCUUCUGUAACUCCAUUUAAUCGAUUAUGACUUUCCAUAAUCGAUUAAGGAUAUCACUAGGAAUUAAUCGAUUACAAACUGGGUUAGUCGAUUAAAAUCGUUAAAAAUGAUUUUUCUAAUUUAAAUGGUAAACACCCUACAUGAUGAAUGAUCAUGCAAUCAUGAUUUUAGAAAUNNNNNNNNNNNNNNNNNNNNNNNNNNNNNNNNNNNNNNNNNNNNNNNNNNNNNNNNNNNNNNNNNNNNNNNNNNNNNNNNNNNNNNNNNNNNNNNNNNNNGUGAGACACUUCCAUCUUGGGUUUACCUACCCUAAGAAUCAAUACUAGGCAACCAACUUAUGACUCUAGAAUGUAAGAAGAAAUCCUAGAUUCUAUGACGAUGACUUUGAGUUCUUGGUAUGUUGUUUAUUGAGAUGUCCAAGUCUACAAGCUUCCAUGUAAGACCUUGUCUUCAUCAAAACUUCGUAGGUCAGUUGUAAUGGCAUCCUUUGACUAUUUUCCAUUUCAAUCUUCCCCUUUUGAUGAUGACAAACACUGAAAAAAUUCUUUUGUUUGAUAAGUUGAAGCUGGACAUAAUAUGUUUUUGAAUCAGAAUGUGCUACUCCCCCUCACUUUAUUCUCCCCCUCAAACCAUGUAAGAGGUAAUGCUAGGAUAGCAACGUGAUUACUUUGCGGAAUCUCAUUUCAACCUGCAAAACAACUUAAACAAUACCUUUCUCCCCUUUUGGCAUGACAAAAAAUCUAUGGCAAAUUAUGAUAUUAAAAGCCAAAAGUAAGGAACGAUAUACACAGUUUACUAGUCUUAAUCGAUUUAUAAUCAAGGAUAAUUGAUUAAGCAGCCUAAAAAAAUUACUCGAACAUGGGCACAAAUUUUAGCAUCAAUCUAUUAUUAUAUGGAGUUAAUCGAUUAUGUAGUAAUAAAACAGAUUAUGACAGAAUUGAUUGUGAGAUUUAUCUAGUUGUGUAAGUUCAACAUAAGUUCCAUAGAAUGAUCAAAAGUAAUGAUUUUGCAAUAUUCAGAACAUAUCAAUCAUUCAACAUUAGAUAUACACAUUAGAUAACAUCAAAGGAUAACACAAUAACUUGUAAACAUAAUCCAAAUUAGCAACAAAGUUUUGCGAACCAUAAGAGUAACUACAAUAAACGAGUACAUAUUGUACAAUAGAAAGAACAUCAAAAUACAACCAUAACAUAGUCAAAAUCAAAAUAAAAUCAUCAAAGUAUAACACACACACACACACUAGACAAUCCUAUCUAGGCUAAUCUUGUGUAGGUGGUAAUGGGGAUGAGCCACGGGUAGCACGCACAAUGAAAAUGAUGCGUUCUAGAUUUUCGGAUAGUCUCUGCUGCUGCUGAAAUUUAGUGGUCAUGGAAUCCCUCAUAUUCUGAAAAUGUCCAUGAAAACACGCAUUGAGGCAUUGUUCCAUAACAUCCAGGUGAGCAAUCCCAAACGAUGGGUCUUGAGGCUCAACAAAUGCCUCGGUAGGUGGUUGCUCAAGGAUAGACUCACUAGGAUUUGCAGCAUUAUCUUCAGUUGGCAUAUCCUCAUUCACUCUGGCAGUAUGAUCUUCUUGAUAUUUCCAUUCAUUAUCGUACUUAUAGAUGCCUAUUUUGUGAGUCAGAUUAUCACCAACAAGAUGCUCUCGGGAGUUAGUCAUGAUAUUGUCCACAUGAGUGGUGUCAAUCUUGUAGUAGUCAAUGAUACGAGAGAUGAAGAUGAAGUUAUGCCAUGCAUAACUUUCAGAAUCUCUGAAGGCCAGUUUACCAUAAUUCCUUAUCGAAUGGCAAACAUAAGCUUCAGGUCAUUAAUGGUGGGUUGAGCAUGAUUGGUAUUUCCCUGAACCAAUAUGUAUGCAAUCAAAUAGUGUAAGCGUCGAUUUUCUAAAGACAAAUAUCCUACUUUGGUCAAUUCCCCUUGCACAAAUAUGUGAGGUCCUCUUAGACAGGACUUGUACAUUUCAAUAGUAUCGAAUGAGUCCCAUGACUCAUUGUUACAGUCACCUAGCCUAGCUCCAUCACAGUCAAGACCUCCAACAUCCAAAAAUAACUCUUCAUCCAUAAUAAUCAUCUUCCGCAUUACCACUGAUGAAUAUACCUCAUCCUUAUACCUGAAAAUGCUAUAGAAUUCUCUAAUGACUGAAGGAUACAAUUUACCUUUCAAUUCCACAAAUUUGUUCACUCCUUGGGUCUCCAACCCAUGUGGGAAUUGAAAUCCUUGAGAAUCAAGCCAUUAUGCAUUUGUAUACUAGAUGUAGGUUUGCUUACGGCCUUGAAACUUAGCCAAUCUAGCCUCUUGAAGAAUGGGAGAGUAGUAAGGGUCUCCAUGACUAGUUCAUCCUCGUUGAGCCAAGGAAGAGCCUUUUUCUCUGCGUCUCACACCCUUGGCAGUAUGCUUCACUCCCAUGCUCCUUGGUUCACUCAUCUUGCAGGUAUAACAGUGAAUUAACCGAUUUGAUAAUCGAUUUUUCGAAUUUGGGGUUUAGGGUUUCUAAAGAGGGAAAUACGGUGAGGAUACAGAUUGGGUAGAGAUUUAGGGUUGUAGAGACAUGGAACUAUGAGGUAGAUACAAUAAAGAAUCAAUUAUCCCACGAUAUUUUGUUACCUCAAUUGCUUUACCUUUUUCGUCUUUAUCGGGAUAGUAGGAUGAUGCCAUAGGCGUUGUCGCUUCUUUACAUUUAUCCAUCUCGAAUCUUUGCAGAAGUUCCUUGCAAUAUUUUGUUCGGAGAAUGAAUAUCCCGCUGCUCAGUUGUUUUAUUUGUAGUCCUAUAAAGAAUGUCAACUUGCCCAUCAUCGACAUUUCAAACUCCCCUUUCAUAAGUUCAGACAAUUCCUUACAAAGCAAAUCGUUAGUAGCACCAAAUAUUAUAUCAUCUACACAAAUCUGUACUAGUAACACAUUAUUUUCUGAUUUUUGUAUAAAAAUAGUUGUAUUAACUUUGCUCCUUUCAAAUCCCUUUUCUAAUAAGAAACUACUCAAUCUAUCAUACCAAGCUCUAGGAGGUUGCUUUAAACCAUAUAAAGCCUUUUUGAGUUUAUAAACAUGAUUAGGGAAUUUAAGAUUUUCAAAACCGGGCAGUUGAUUUACAUACACCUCUUAUUGAAUAUAUCCAUUCAAGAAGGCACUCUUUACAUCCAUUUGAAAGAUUUUGAAUUUCAUAAUCGAUGCAAAGGCUAGUAACAUUUGAAUAGCCUCCAACCUCACAACAUGGGCGUAGGUUUCAUCAUAGUCGAUGCCCUUUUCUUGAUUAUACCCUUUGGCAACUAGGUGUGCCUUAUUUCGUAUAGUCAAACCAGAUUCAUCCAAUUUAUUUUUAAAGACCCAUUUUGUGCCUAUAACAGGAUGAUCUUUAGGAUGAGGGACCAAGUCCCAUACAUUAUUAUGCUCAAAUUGGUUUAGCUAUUCUUGCAUAGCUAUACCCCAAUGUUCAUCCUCUAAGGCCUCAUGCAUUGGUAUUUCAUAUGGCUCGGCUUGCCACACUCAUGGAAAAUGAGGCGAUCUUUGGGAGCUUUGCCUCGUCUGGUUGAAUCAGUUGCCUCUUUCUUUUGAAAGCGCUUAAACCCUCCUUUCUUUUUGGUAAACUUUCCAAACUUUCUAACCAUGAGGGUUAAGGUUUCAUCAUCUAGUUUAGACCCUGAAUCAUCAUCGUCUCUCUCUUCUUGUGAUUGUGAAGAUGUAGCUUUCAAGGAGAUCCCCUUUUUCUUUCGGUCUGAAUCUUCAUGCAUUGUUAAGCAUCCUAACUUCAUUUUGUGUUCUUGGAGUUUUCCAAAGAGAGUUUCUAGAGACAUUGUGUCUAAGUCUUUUGACUCCAUAAUUGCGGUUACCUUGGGCUGCCAUUUCCUAUCAAGACAAUGCAACACUUUGUCAAUACGUUCACCAAUAGCAAAAAUCUUAUCUAAUGCAAUUAAAUGAUUAAAAAUAUGGGUGAAUCGUUUCUGCAUUUCAUUAAUUGAUUCAUUUGGAAACAUAUGAAACAACUCAUAUUCAUGUGUUAAUGCAUUCAAUCUUGCACGCUUUACCUCACUUGUGCCUUCAUGGGUUACUUGCAAAGUAUCCCACAUUUCUUUUGCAUUUAGGCACUGUGACACCCGAAAGAACUCAUCGUAUGAUAAGGCAGAGGUUAUACUAUUCUUUGCCUUGACAUUGUGCUGGACUUUACGUCUUUCUUCGCCAGUCCAGAAUCCCUUUGGUUUUUCUUUGGGUUCAACAUCCACUAAGUGAAGUGGAGUGAAAGACCCGUUUACAACAGAGUCCCAAAUCUCUGUCUAUAGCGUCUAUAAAGAUUUGCAUGCCAACCUUUCAGUUGGCAUACCCCUCGCCGCAGAUGAUCGGAGGGCGGUUGAUGGAUACGCCAUCAAUACCGAAAGGGUUAGUGGAACCCAUAGUGAUUAAUCCAUUGGAUCAAGGAAUUUAGCAGCCAAACUAGCACCUUCGUACUAGCUCUGAUACCACUUGUUGGAUACUAGUGAGGUAAGAUUACACCUAGAGGGGGCAUGAAUAAGUGUAGCGGAUCACUAAUCCCGCUUUUCCGGUAUUUGCGCAUAAUACAAAGUUGUUGUAGUUAAUCGAUUAUCAAUAUCGUUAACCGAUUAAGAACAGUUAUGUAAAUCGAUUAUAAUCAGUAUGUUAGUCGAUAAUACUAGUUGUUACUGUUUGAAGAAAAAAAACAGUUUUCUUGCUUUGCAAAACAGUGAUGAAUCUAGAUCUUUACUAACUCAAUAUUGAUUGGUGAUUAUGAUCAGAUUAACAACAAUUAACAAUUAACCACAUAAUGAAACUUUAAUAUAGAAAGCAGUAAAGACAGAAUCUUAAAGAGAUAGGGAAAGGGAAACUUGUGCUCGAGGAUUUUAUCCUGGUUCGUUCGCGGGUCCACUUGCAAACUACAUCCACGCCUCCCGUUGGAUCUGGGAGAUUUUUCUUCACUAUUAGAAAUGUAAUUUAGUUACAAACGCACUUCCAAUAUUCCUAGACAGAAAAUUCCUUCUUGAAACUGUUGAGCCACCAAGCUCAGUUUGACCUCUAUCUACACCUACUUGGAUACCAUAUCGUUCGUGCAAUCUGGCCCCAAAUGACACUCUCUGCUCGAAUCAAGACUCCUUGUCUUGUGAAGAUCCCUAAUUCUCAACUUGUGAUGAUACCACACACCACGAGAAUUAUCCUCAACUUUACUUAAUUUUUCUGAGUUACUUUGCACAAAAGAUUGUGCGGAUAACGACAAUUAAAUCGUCUCUUCUAUAACCCUUGACAUAAUGAUCUCACAAACAGCCCUAAGAACUAUGUGUAGAAAUCAUGCAAGGUAUUUCAACAUAAUGAAAAAUGUUGGCACAUUGAAAAGAGUCUAUUUCUUUUCUCUCUUUUCACUCAUGAAAAAGUUUGCAAGAAAAACUUCAAAGAAUCAACUUGAAAACUUUAGCACCAUCAAUCUUUGUUUUUCUUUUCUCUCAGUAAUUUUCGAUACUCCAUGAAAGUAUGAAAAGCAUUGCUUUUAAACGGAUUUAAUUUUGUUGCAAAAUAACAUAAUUAGUUCAUAACUGACAUAACUGAUAUUAAUCGAUUAAAUUGUCAUGUUAAUCGAUUAACGGGUUUCUUGAAAACAGUUUUUCAGUUAUGACUUAAUCGAUUAAAAGCUUACUUAAUUAAUAAGCAUAAAUCCUGGGAGAUUAGCUUCUAUAACUCCAUUUAAUCGAUUAUGACUUUCCUUAAUCGAUUAAGGAUUUCACCAGGACUUAAUCGAUGACAAACUGGGUUAAUCGAUUAAAAUCAUUAAAAAUGGUUUUUCUAACUUCAAUGGUAAACACCUUAUAUGAUGAAUGAUCAUGAAAUCAUGAUUUUAGAAAUGAUUAUACCUUUAUGCAUAAAACUAUGUAUGUUAAAUGCAAAUGCAUUAGUGUUAAUUAUCACACACACACACACACAUAUAUAUAUAUAUGUAGAUGUUAUGCCUCAUUUUAUGUGAUUUUUAUUUUAGACUCUUUGUGAGACAUUUCCAUCUUGGGUUCACCUUUCCUAAGACUCAAUACUAGGCAAUCAUCUUAGGACUCUAGAAUGUAAAAAAAACAAUCCUAGAUUUUAUGACGAUGACCUUGAGUUCUUGGUAUGUUGUUUGUUAAGAUGUCCAAGUCUUCAAGCAUCCAUGUAAGACCUUGUCUUGGCAAAUUCUUUCACAAUUGUUGGUAUUUCAUAAAUCCAAGAAUUUCACCUCUGACUAUGAAAUACGAAUGCCCCCGACUGUCCCUACUAGUCAUUACUCCGAUCCCGAAGGCCAACGCAAUAGGAUCAGAAUCAUGUGGUGUUAUCUCAUGCUAAUGUACUCAUUCCAAUUACUAGACUCAAUGAGCCCGAUAUUGUUAUUUGUUGUCACUACCUCCCCGUGUCAAGAUUGGGUAAUUUGCUCUCCUACCCUCUACGUGGUGCAGCUCAGCCCUUAGGGCAUCACCUAACACCACAUCCUUCUAUGGUGAAAAGGGUCUCACAUGCAACAAAUACGCCUAGGUGCACAUAUAUUUCCACGAGACAAGCCUAGACCGUGCAACUUUGUUGUGUGCGUCUUACACCACUGCACCUUGAAUUCAACCAUAAAAACCAGCCGCAAACACACUACUUCCGGAUAAUUGGGCUUGUGCCCCUUCAUGUUGCAGCUAUGCCCCUAAAGGCUUCACCCAACACCAAAUCCUUCCGUGCAAGACUGGUCAACACAUUUCCGAAGUACAAGCCUACCUGAGACACAUUGUUUCUAGAAUCACAGACGACUGCACCUUGACUUUAAUCGUGCAAACCAGCCUGCAAAACACUACAGAUGAUUGGACUUAUACCUCUUUGUGUUGUGGCUAUGCCCUUAAAGGCUUCACAUAACACCACAUGCUUCUAUGCAGAAAGGGUCACACUAGAAGCCUUGGCACGCCCGCCACCUGCAACUACCCAACCCAUCACCGAGUCACCAAACCGGAACCUCAACAAGUGAGACGGACGCAUCAAGAGUUUCGAGUCGGACCAUGAGGCAAAAGCCAAGCCCUUGAUGCAUCCGAAACGAGUCCUAGGUGCCCGAUAAGAUCAAGACAAUGCACAAAUUUUUACGAACGGCCAACCUGCACCUGCAUCGCCAUGGACAAAGACAGCUUCCCCUCUAUAGUAGGCUAAUAUGCAAAAACCCACUCUACACCACCGGACGUCAUUUUCUCUAUGAAGACAUACUGGUUUUUUUUAGGCUAGAUGUCAAAUUUUUCCAGGAUUGUUUGCGCACUUGCUUAUGAAAAUGGGAGCUAGUGGUCCACGAAGUGUCACGAUUUUUCUCUAAGCCGAUAAUUUUUCGUAAUUUUUCUAAGCGACGAGCAUUACAUAAUUCCCGAAAAUUAAAAUGCUUGGAAUAUUAUUUCUAAACAUUUCCCAAAGUUACUUCCAUGUAACAUCGAGGCAUUUACCUCAAUUGAUUUUCCACCUAAGUGCGGCACACGCCAUGGUGCCAUGACGAAAAACAUCGCGUAGGAGUUGAAUUCCAACUUGAGACUUUACAGGCAACCAUGGCAAAACAAUUCCAGGUUCCCCUCCAAAUAUGGAGGCUUUUGAUGAAGGGGUCGACAUGUUACGAAGCAUUCACGGAAAUAGGGAAUGCGACUGAAGCAAGAAUCUCAUGCGAGGCAUGGGUCACUUUCACCAAGCACUCAUAACAUGUGCCAUUACUUUCACCUACCACUCAAAAAGUGUGUUUGGAAUGGUUCUAUUUCACCUAGCACUCAGAAAAUGUGUAUGGCACGGUUCUAUUUCACCUAGCACUCGGAAAGUGUGUAUGGCACAUGUCUAUUUCACCUAGCACUCGGACACAUGAGUCAUGGCCUUCACCUAGCACUUCAGGUGAUGAAAUUUCUAACUACAUAAACUACUGCUAUCCGUGACUUGGACAUCACGAUACCUUUAGUUCUACUUGAAAAACCAUAGCGCAGUUAACAACUACACCAUACCAUUUCGCGGGGCCACACCCUAGCACCCCCCACGUGCUGGGCCACCCCCCGAAUGGUGCCCCACCACCCCCUCCUCCCGUACCUCCGAGCUGGAGGCCCAGCCCAAGUCCGCACCUCGACCCUACGAUUGUGACCCUUGCUUAGAGAAGGUCAUGCGAUCGAUGACUUGGGUGAGGGUGUCAUACGAUAGGCCACCCACCAGACGAAUAAGGGACUAUUUGUCCGUCGUGGACUUUGCACCAAUUUGACUAAUCGCACACACGAGUUUCUGGUCUGCAACCCUCAUUGGGUGUACGAACUAGAACUUAACAAGUUGGAGACUAGUGGCACAAAACAAGGCCACAGGAUAAAAAUCAAAGUGGAUCUUAACAGCAAGUCCACUCUGCCUGUUCCAAAGUGUCAUGCUAUUUAAGUCACUAAAAAGACUCUUGGAGUGCCAAGGACAGAAUGGUGCUUCAAGGCAUCCCGCAUAAAGUUUCCAAACAGGGCAGAUCACAAACUGAACGAGACAAUGUUGGGCAAAAGCCCGCUGCUACUUCUCAGUAAUGGGCCACUCAAGUACUUUCAUGAAGGCAUCACCUAAUCCUUUGGUGCACAAUGGGUCACACGAGAAGCCUUGGCACGUCCACACGAUACCCACAUUACAUACCUCGCCACUGUGUGACCGAUCCAGAUCAACACCAAAUGACAAAUUAGGGAGGGACGAACCUAGACACCGCACGUUUUAGCUUGGGCCACACACGACCACACCAUGACUUCGAAACAUGUAAACCCAACCACAACACACUAAUAGACGAUUGGACUUGUGUCCCUUUGUGUUGCGGUUGUGCCCAUAAAGGCUUCUCCUAACACGACAUCAUUCUGUGCAUAACAGGUUACACUAGAAGCCUCAGAAUGUCUGCAUGAUUGAUGCAACUAACCAACUCGACAUUGUCCCACAAAACCAGCAUGUCAACGGACCAUGCUUUCCCGAGGGACAAGCCUACAUAAGUCGCGUUCUUUGCUUGAGUCAUAACGACCACACAAUGACUUUAGCCAUGCAAACCCGCCAACAACGCACUUCGCGAUGAUUGGAAUUGCGCCCCUUCGUGAUGCGGAUAUGCCCCUAAGAGCUUCACCCAACACCACAUCCUUCAGUGUACAAUGGGACACUCUAGAAGCCUUGAGAAGUCGGACGGAAGCCUGCAACUAGCCAACCUGCACCGUGUGACCAAACCAUCACCUCAACACCAUACACUUUUCCGAGGGACAAACCUACACGAGAUACUUUGUUGCAUGAGACAUAAACGACCGCACCUUGACUAAAACCAUGCCAACCUGCCCACAACACACUUCCGGAUGGCUGGACUUGCACCCCUUCAGGCUCCAGCUGUGCUGCAAAAGGCAUCACCUAACACCACAUCCUUCCAUGCAGAACGUGCAACACUAGAAGCCUCGGCACAUCUGAGCGAUGCCCGAAACUACCCAAAACGACACUCUGUGAUGAAGAAGGCAAGACAAGAGGGACUUACGUAUCAAGAAAUCCGAGUUGGGCCACGAGGAACAGUGCAAGACCUUGAUGCAUCCCAAAUAAGUCCUAGGUGCCAAACAACACCAAGCCAAAGCACCAACCUGCACCUGGCCAUGUGCGACCGAGAUUCAGUAUUGUGAAGAAGAUCUUUGCUCCUAACCUUGGCACGGUUUUGUUGAAGACACCAACAUCACCAAAAAGAAGACAAAUCUUGAAGACAAAUUAGUCUAAGUCUAAAUAGGCACUUCUAUCCUAUACUCUUGAAUAUGCAAUAGUAGUAAUGCUCAAACUAUUUUGAAAAGAAAAUUGAAACACUUCAAUUUAUUCAAAACAAUUUUCAAAAAUAGUGUGUAACGGGUUACUGCAUCUUAGUAACAGGCUACAUGUGUGACAAAAGUGUUAUCCAACUUAAAACUAAUCAAAGUAAUCCAUUACUAUUUGUGUGUAAAAAUUACUAGUUUUAAUAAAGUUGAGUAACUGAUUACCCACUUGCUGUAAUUGAUUACUCUAAAUCGAAUUUAAAUGCCCAGUGGACAGAACUUUUGGGUAAUCGAUUACCCAUUAGUUGUAAUUGAUUACUGAGUGUUGUUUUAUCAGAUUUUAGAUUUCAAAAUGAAAGGUUUUCAUCCCAAACGAAAUAUCUUCACUCCAAUUCAUUCCUACCUUUUCGUAGAGGUACUAUGGGUGAUUGGAAAGUCUAUUUAGAGGCAUUGAAUCUCGCAACACAAACACACAACUCUCAUAGAAAGUAAAGUGUUACAAAGUUCUUAAACUUCCAAAGUUGAUUUUUCUGAAAUUGCUUAAAGUAAAGUAUUUCAAGUUUACCAACUUAUAAAAAGCAUUAUUACUACAUAUACAAAAGAGUUGAUUGGAUUACAAGUUACAUUACUUUCAAACUUGUAAAGGCAAUUCCACCAUUGUUGUACAUUCUUCAUUAUUAUUGCAGAAUACUUUAUUUCACAAGGGUGUGAUAAGAAAGGGGAUUAGAAUCACUUGGAAAGGUGUUUUUUCAAGAGUUGGAUUAGGGUGUGUGUAAGGUACAUAGAGUUCUCGGGGUGAUAUAUUGUAAUUGCAACUUAUAAUCUUUAGUGGAAAAAUAUCUUGUGCUGAAAGAGUACAGGACAUAGCCUUCGGUGGACAAGAAGGUAAACCAUUACAAAUAUCCUUGUGUAUUCUCUUCUACCUUAUCUCUUUGAUUAUUUAUUUGGUUAAUUUUUGCUUAUAUUUUCUGCUGCACUUUAACUCUUGAUUUUUCAUAAAAAGUGGCCAUAAUUUUAAGUCAACUAAUUCACCCCCCCCCCUCUUAGUUGCAAUCUCAGUCUUACAAUUAGCACUAGAGCUAUUCUUGAGUAAGUUAUUCUCAAAUAUGAUCCUAUAUCAAAGAUGGCCUUAAGAUCAUUCCUAGGAGAAGGUUCCAAUAUCAACUGCCCUCCAAGCUUUGUUGGAGAGUGCUAUGACUUUUGGUAAGGUAUCCGGUCAAAAAUCAAGAGCUUCUUCAACAACAUAUCACUCGACAUACAACCCUCUAGUCUUGAUUGGUUCUUUACAUACCCUUUUAAUGUCUUCAUAUAACCCUCAAAGGGUACAUCCAUCUCAUAUAGGAAGGGCCACAUAGUUGUGUCUCUCGAACAAGAUGAAUGCUUCAAUGAACCAUUAUGUCAAAAACGAAGGUGUGAAAUACAUUUCAAUCUCACACAAAGUCAAAAUAAUUUGUCUUUACAAUGCAUGUAAUUUCUUAGGUUCAAUCACUUUGCUACAAAUUGCCUUGAAGAAGAAGCAUAACCUAGUUAUGGUUCCUCAAACUUUUUUAGGUAGAAUUGACUGUAUUCCAAUAGGCAAGGAAUGCUCCAUAAGUACAUGAUAAUCAUGAGACUUAAGACCUUUUAACUUGAGGUCUUUCAUUGAUACGAGGUUCUUAAUGUUGGAAGAGUACCCUUAUACACCUUUAACACCAUGAAUAAGCUACUGGAGGUAGAAAUGUACGUUUCCCUUCAUUACCAGUCCCGAUUCCUUUCUUAUUCCCAUACUAACCAUAUGAAAAACUCACUUUCAAUACAAGCUAAAUAUAAUGCAAUUAAAAAGGCAAAUAACUAUAUGAAAAACUCACUUUCAAUACGAUGUUCAAUGCGUAAAUAAUGAUUUUAUGGUUAAACGAGUGAAGGAUUUUCGAAAUCGAUGUUGAAUGAUUUUCGUGUAAAAUGAGUGAAUGAUUUUUGGUGUGAAUGAGUGAAUGAUUUUGAGGUUGAAUGAUUUUCGAGGUUGAUUUUGAGAGUAAAUGCGUUUUGAUGCUGAGAAAAUGAGUGUUAGGAUUGUUGAUGAAUGUGUGAGAAUGCGGGAAAAAUUUAAUUUUUUAGGGUCUGAUAGUAUAUUCAGCAUCACAUAAUUACGAUGCCGCCGUCAAUGAUACAAAAUCAACAACGCAUAGUGAAGAUGGUGUUGUCAAUGAUACCUAAUCAACAGCAAAACCUUAGGGAAACGCUUUGGAAGAACUCCCCAUUCAAAUAUAAAGAAGGUAAGUGUUCAAUAGCACAAACUUAAGGAAACGCCAUGGAAGAUAUAAUAAUUUUUUUACUAAUUCAUUUUUUAAUGAAAUUCAAAUUAGUAAUUACAUUAUGACAUUCGAUUAAUGACAAUUAAUUAAAUAUAUAGAACAAUUAAUAAUGGCAAUAAAUAACAUUCAAACAAUUAAUCGAUUAAGCAUUGUGUUAAGCGAUUAAGUGUUGAGGAAAUAGUUUUGUUGAUCAUAUCGAUAGUGCUUCUUACCGAAUGUGAUGUAGUAUAUCUAAAAGAGAAUAAAUGAGAGAUAAGUGUUCAACAUAUUGUUUUAAUGAAUGCGAUGUUGAAUACAACCUAAUCAACAUCGCUUUUUAGUGAAUGCGAUGUUGAAUGCAACAUAAUCAAUAGUGUAUUGUUAAAAAAGUGUUGUUGUAUGGUUAUAACUACAGUGCAUUCACAAAAAGCACAUUCGAAGACCGUUAUUCCUAAUUCUAAACAGUUACGCACACAACAGAAAAUAACCUGAAUGCAUAUAGGAACAGAAUAUAACAAUUAAAGGAAUAUAUGAACACAAAUGAAUUUAUAUAUUGAACAUUAAUGACACUGUAUUGCUUACAUUGAAUUGAAUUCCCUAAGAUACAAUCUAUGCUACAUUAAUUGAAUUAAAUUAAUUACAUAGACCAAAUCAUAUACAUUACAAUGAAUUCCCUAAGCUACAAUCUGUGCAAAACUAAUCUACUAUACAUUUAGCUAUGAUUUGUCAACAGAAAUAAGUACAAAGUUUGACCAUUGUUUUCUAAUCUGGUUGACUUCAUCAUCUGUAUAUGAUUUGCCAUCAAUCUUGAUUGCAUUAGUUGGCAUUGUUGAAUGAUAUCCUUCAUGAAUUUCAGCACGUAAUAGCCGCAAUCUACCUGGUUUGUUUGGCAAGGGGUCUAUAAUUAAAAUGAAGUAAACAUAUAAGUAUAACAUUAGUUGGUCAUUACACACAUAAUUGUUUGGGAUGAUUUGUGCCAAUACCUUUAUACGAGUCCACCUGAUUUUGGGAUUUGGUAACUUGUUUCUAGCACGAUUACAGCUUCUGUAAAUUCUCACCGCACUAAACAAUAGAAAAUGUACUUAAUUACUAAACAAAAAAUGAAAGUGAAAGUGUCACUAAAAUUUUAAAUGAGUAGUCCACUUACCUAAAAAGAUCUUUUUCAUAGCGGGGUUGUUGUUCAUAUCACCAUGUGCCAAUGAGUCAAAGUAGUAUAUUUCUUCAUUGACCCGAUUGAUGGCAACCAAAACCCAAUGAUGCCUAACAAAACAUAUGUACAUGGUUAGGAAAUGUUAAGAACAAAAAAACAUACUAAAGAAAGAAAUAUAAAAGACAAUUAAAAAAUGCUCACCUGAUCUUAAAAGGUGCAAUAAAUAAAUCUGCAUCUUCUUUAUGAUGGAGGAGAUUAUCUGUAAUUUGUUUUGUUUUUUCCCCAAUCUCAUUUUUGUCACCUGAAACCAAAGCGGUAAGGUGUGGGGAUAUGAACAUAACAUUUUCCUUAUUUACCUUAAUAAAAUUUUCAUACAAGUACCUAAUACAUAUAACACAAAUGUUAGUUAAUUAUAACACAAAUGUUCUACCCUUGUCACUUCGAUUCAUCCCUCCCAUCUGAAACCUUUUUACGAGCUAGGUCGUACACCCUGCAAGUAGGUGCAAACUUCAUGGACCACUAGCUCCCAUUCUUGUAAGCACGUGUGCAAAAAUCAGGACAAACUUCGACCUAUAGCCUAAAAAAGCCCAGUAUGUCUUCCUAGAGAAAAGGAUGUCCGAUGGUGCAGCAUGGGCUUUUGAUUUAGGAUCAGAUUUUAGAAUAACUUACUCAAGAAUAGCUUUAGUGUCAAUUGUAAGACUGAGAUUGCAACAAAGAGGGGGGGCGGGGGGUGAAUUAGUUGACUUAAAAAAUUAUGGCCACUUUUUUAAAAGCUAAAGUGCAUCGGGAAAUAUAUGCAAAAAUUAACCAAAUAAAUAAUCUAAGAGAUAAGGGAGAAGAGAAUAAGCAAGGAUUUUUAUAUUGGUUCACCUUCUUGUCCACCGAAGGCUACGUAUAGUACUCUUGUAGCACAAGAGAUUUUUCCACUAAAGAUUAUGAGUUGCAAUUACAAUAUCUCACCCCGAGAUCUCUAUGUACCUUACACACUCCCUAAUCCUUAUUCGCUCUUGGAAAAACACAUUUCCAAGUGAUUCUAAUCCCCUUUCUUAUCACACUCUUCUGAGAGAAAGUAUUCUACAAUAAUAAUGAAGAAUGUACAACAAUGGUGAAAUUGCCUUUACAAGUUUGAAAGUAAUGUAACUUGCAAUCCAAUCAACUCUUUUGUAUACUAAGUAAUAAUUCUCUUUAUAAGUUGGUAAACUUGAAACACUUUAAUUUAAGCAACUUCAGAAAAAUCAACUUGAAAGUUUAAGAACUAGUUUCCAAAAGUGCAAAAAAUAAUUUCAGAAUGUGUGUAAGAGCUUUUGAAAUUUGUAUGAGAGUUGUGUUUUUUUUUUUGUGACAUUCAAUGCCCUUAAAUGGACUUUCCAAUCUCCCGUAAUGCCUCUACAAAAAGUUAGGAAUAGAUUGGAGUGAAGACAUUUUGUUUGGGAUGAAAACCUUUCAUUUUGAAAUAUGAAAUCUAAUAAAACAACACUUAGUAAUCAAUUACAACCAGUGGGUAAUCGACUACCCAAACGUUCUAUUCACUGGGCAUUUAAAUUCGAUUUAGAGUAGUCGAUUACAGCAAGUGGGGUAAUCAGUUACUCAACUUUAUUAAAACUAGUAAUCUGUUACUCAAAGAUAGUAAUGGAUUACUAUGAUCAGUUAUAAGUUGGAUAAAUAUUUUCUCACACACGUAGCCUGUUACUUAGAUGUAGUAACCCGUUACACACUACUUUUGAAAAUUGUUUUGAAUAAAUUGAAGUGUUUAAAUUUUCUUUUAAAAAUAGUUUGAGCAUUACUACUAUUGUAUAUUCAAGAGUAUAGGAUAGAAGUGCCUAUUUGGACUUAGACUAAUUUGUCUUGAAGCUUUGUCUUCUUUGUCUUCAUAAGUAUUCUUUUUUUCUUCUUUUUGGUGAUGUUGGUGUCUUCAUCAAAAUCGUGCCAACAUUAGGAGCAAAGAUCUUCUUCACAAUGCUGAAUCUUGGUCGCACAUGGCCAGGUGCAGGCUAGUGCUUUGGUUUGGUGUUGUCUGGCACAUAGGACUUAUUGGGUAUGCAUCGAAGUCUUGCAUUGUUCCUCGCGGCCCAACUCGGAUUUCUUGAUACGUAAGUCCCUCUUGUCUUGCCUGCUUCGUCAUAUAGUGCCGAGUUAGGUAGUUGCGGGCAUCACUCAGAUGUGUCGAGGCUUCUAGUGUUGCACGUUUUACAUGGAAGGAUGUGGUGUUAGGCGAUGCCUUUAGUGGCACAACCAGAGCACGAAGAGGCGUAAGUCCAGUCAUCCGGAAGUGUGUUGUGGGCAUGUUCGAAUGGUUUUAGUCAUGGUGCGGUCGUCUAUGUCUCAUGCAACAAAGUGUCUCGUGUAAGCCUUUCCCUCGGAAAAGUGUGUGUUGUUGAGGUGCUAGUUUGGUCACACGGUGCUGGAUGGGUAGUUGCGGGCUUCCGUCUGACUUGCUGAGGCUUCUACUAUGUCCUGUUGUGCAUGGAAGGAUAUGGUGUUGGGUGUAGCCCUUAGGGGCAGAUCCGCAACACGAAGGGGCGCAGGUCCAAUCAUCUUGAAGUGUGUUGGCGGGUGGUUUGCACGGUUGAAGUCAUGGUAUGGUCGUAUAUGACUCGAGCAAAGAACGCGACUUCUGUAGGCUUGUCCCUCGGGAAAGAAUGGUCCAUUAACGUGCUGGUUUGUUCGUACAAUGCCAAGUUGGUUAGCUACGUUCGUCAUGAGAACAUUCCGAGGCUUCUAGUGUGACCUGUUCUGCAUAGAAGGAUGUCAUGUUAGGUGAAGACUUAAGGGGCACAGUCGCAACAAGAAGGGGCCAAGUCCAAUCGUCCGGAAGUGUGUUGUGGUCGGGUUCGCAUGUUUUGAAGACACGGUGUGGUCAUGUGUGACCCAAGUUACAAUGUGCAGUGUCUAGGCUCGUCCCUCGCUAAUCUAUCAUCUGGCGAUGAUCUGGAUCGGUGACACAGGGCGAGGUAUAUACAUGUGGGCAUCCUAUGGAUGUGCCCAGGCUUCUCGUGUGACCCGUUGUGCACCGAAGGAUUAGGUGAUGCCUUCAUGGAAGUACUUGAGUGGCCCACCACUGAGAAGCAGUCUGGGGCUUUUGCCCAACAUUGUCUCGUUUGGUUUGUGAUGUGCCCUGGUUGGGAAAUUUAUUCAGGAUGCCUUCCAGCACCAUUCUCUCCUUGGCACUCCAAGAGUCUUUUCAGUGACUUAAAUAGCAUGGCACUUUAGAAUAGGAAGAGUGGACUUGCUUUUAUGAUCCACUUUUAUUUGUAUCAUGUGGCCUUGUUUUGUGUCAGCAAUCUCCAACUUUUCAAGUUCUAGUUCGUACACCCAAUGAGAGUUGCGGAGCAGCAACUCGUGUGUGCUAUUAGUCGAAUUGGUGCAAAGUCCACGAUGGACACAUAGUCCCUUAUUUGUCUGGUGGAUGGCCUAUCAUAUGACACCCUCACCCAAGUCAUGGAUCGCAUGACCUUCACUAAGCAAGGGUCACAACCGUAGGGUGAAGGCACAGACUUAGGCUGGGCCUAUGGCUCGGAGGUAUAGGCGAAGGGGGUGGUGGGGCACCAUUCAAGGGGUGGUGGGGGUGGUCCACCAUGUGGGGUGCGGGGGCAUGCCCUCGUGAAAUGGUACAUUGUAGUUGUUAACUCCGCUAUGGUUUUUCAAGUAGAACUAAAGGUAUCGUGAUGUCCAAGUCACGGUUCGCAGUAGUUUACAUAGUUAGAAGUUACAUCACCCCAAGUGCUAGGUGAAGGCCAUGACACAUGUGUCCGAGUGGUACUAGGUGAAAUUGAGGCCUUGAUAGACUUUCCGAGUGCUAGGUAAAACAGACCUGUGCCAUACACACUUUCCGAGUGCUAGGUGAAAUGGACCUGUGCCAUACACAGUUUCCGAGUGCUAGUUGAAAUAGACUCGUGCCUCACAUGAGAUUCUUGCUUCAGUCACAUAUUUGGACGGGAACCCGAAAUUGUUUUGCCAUGGUUUCCUACAAAGUCUCAAGUCGGAAUUCAACUCCUAGGCAAUGUUGUCCAUCAUGGCACCAUGGCGUGUGCUGCACUUUGGUGGAAAAUAUUUUGAGGUAAAUGCAUCGAUGUUACAUGGACGUAACUUUGGAAAAUAUUUAGGAAUAAUAUUCGAAGAAUUCCUGCAAAAGAACAGCUCAAAAAACAUGGUACACACUCAUUUUCUAACUUUUAGGAAUUAUGUAAUGCUCGUCGCUUAGAAAAAUUACGAAAAAAUAUCGGUUUUGAGAAAAAUCGUGAAACUUCAUGGACCACUAGCUCAUAUUCUCAUAAGCACAUGUGCAAACAAUCAAGGAAAAAUUCUACCUCUAGCCUUAAAAAUCCAAAGUGUCUUUCUAGAGAAAAGGAUGUUCGGUGGUGCAGAGUGGGUUAUUGCAUAUUAGCCUACUAUAGGGGGAUAGCUGCCUCCCUGUCCAUGCACCUUGGUGGGUCAAGAUGGCUUGCCAUGGGGCUCCCCACAACGCCCCAUCAAGCUUCCCCAAGCAUGCUGGUGCGUUUGUCCAUGGCGAUGUAGGCAAUUCGACCGAGUCAUCUUCCAUGUCGAAUCCCGGUCGUACGUUGCCAGCUGUAGGCUGGUCGUUUGGAAAAAUGUGUGCAUCGUCUUGAACAUAUCUAGCACCUAGGACUCGUUUGGGAUGCAUCAAGGGCUUCGCUUGAGCCUCGCAAUCUGACUCAAAGGUUGGGUAGUUGCGGAUGCUAGGCGUGCCGAGGCUUCUAGUGCGACCCUUUCUGCACGGAAGGAUGUGGUGUUAGGUGAUGCCUUUAUGGGCAUAGCUACAAGACGAAGGGGCGCAAGUCCAAUCAUCCAGAAGUGUGUUGCGAGCUGGUUUGCACGGUUGAAGUCAAGGUGCAGUCAUCUCUCAUGCUAGCAACAAUGUGUCUCGGGUAGGCUUGUCCCUCGGAAAUGUGUUGGCUAUUGAGGUGUUGGAUAGGUCCCAUGGUGCCAAGUUGGUAGUUACGGCAUCCCACGGACGUUUCGAGGCUUCUAGUGUGACCAGUUCUGCACGGAAGGAUGUAGUGUUGGGUGAAGCCCUUAGGGGAACAACUGCAGAACGAAGGGGCGCAAGCCCAAUCAUCCAGAAGUAGUGUGUUUGUGACUGGUUUUCAUGGUUGAAGUCAAGGUGUGGUGGUGUAAGACACACGCAACAAUAUUGCACGAUGUAGACUUGUCCCACGGAAAUAUAUGCACACCUCGAGAGAUAUGUGCGUACCUCGGGAGAUAUGUGUGCACCUCGGGAAAUAUGUGUGAACCUAGGCAUAUUUGUUGCCUGUGAGACCCUUAUCGCCAUGGAAGGACGUGGUGUUAGGUGAUGCCCUAAGGGCUGAGACGUACCACAUAGAGGGGUGAGCAUGUUCGUCGGAAGUGCGUUGUGGGAAGAUUUGGAGGUAACCCUCCACAACCAGCUUCUUAGAGGGACUAUGGCUGCUUAGGCCAUAGAAGUUUGAGGAAAUAACAUUUAUGUGAUGCCCUUAGAUGUUCUGGGCCGCACGCGUUCUACACUGAUGUAUUCAAUGAGUCAUAGCCUUGACCGACACGCCCAGAUAAUUUUUGAAAUUUCAUCGUGAUGGGGAUAGAUCAUUGCAAUUGUUGGUCUUCAACGAGGAAUUCUUAGUAAGCAUGAGUCAUCAUCUCGCAUUGACUAUGUCCCUGCCCUUUGUACACACCACCCGUCACUCCUACCGACUGAAUGGUCCGGUCAAGUGUUCGGAUUGUGGCGACGUGGGUGGUUCGCUGCCGAUGAUGUUGUGAGAAUUCAUAUGAACCUUAUCAUUUAGAGGAAGGAGAAGUUGUAAAAAGGUUUCCAUUGGUGAACCUGCAGAAGGAUCAUUGUCGAAGCCUCACAAGUAGUGCGACCCCGUGAAUCUGUUUUACUCCUUAGGGGUGGCUAGAGGUCUUUGGCACCUUUGUCCCCCUUGUGUCAGGAAGUGCCACACCCUUUGUGGUGUCCUCUUGGCCUAAUAACUAAACACUAGCGUGAAACGCGCCAAGGAAAUUGAAAUCGUUUAGUUCGCCCCGUUGGCCCGGAGACGAUGCUCAUGUAGGCGGCAUUGCGACACGUUUAUCCUAAAGACUCUCGGAAAUGAAUAUCUCGACUCUUGCAUCGAUUAUGAACGUAGCGAAAUGCAAUACUUGGUGUGAGUUGCAGAAUCUCGUGAACCAUCGAGUCUUUGAAUGCAAGUUGCGGCCGGAGCCCUUAGGCCAAGGGCACGCCUGCCUAGGUGUUGUCCUGUGCCUUGGCCACGUGCUAGGCACCAAGUGGGGCGAAUGUUGGCUUACCGCGAGCAAUGUCUCACGGUUGGUUAAAAACUGAGUUCAUGGUGAAGGGCGCCGUGAUGGCUAGUGGCUGAGCUAAAGCUUGACACCGAUCGUGUGUGUCACCCCCACCAGCUUUGUGACUCUUUGAUCCAUGGGAUCUGUUAUCAGAACCUCAGGUCAGGCGGGGCUACCCACUGAGUUUAAGCAUAUCAAUAAGCAGUGGAAAUUAAACUAACAAGGAUUCCCUUACUAACAGCGAGCGAACCGAGAAUAGCCCACCAUGAGAAUUGAUCGCCCUAGGUGUCUGAAUUGUAGUCUAGAGAAGAGUACUCAAUGGUGGAUCGGGCCCAAGUCCCCUAGAAGGGGGCGCCGAAGAGGGUGAGAGCCUCGUCUUGCCCGUACCUUAUCGCACCACAAUGCCCUAUCGACGAGUUGGGUUGUUUUGGAAUGCAACCCCAAUCCGGCGGUAAAUUUCAUCCAAGGCUAAAUACUGGCGAGAGACUGAUAGCAAACAAAUACUGCGAGGGAAAGAUGAAAAGGACUUUGAAAAGAGAGUCAAAGAGUGCUUGAAAUUGUCGGGAUAGAAGCAUAUGGGGGCUGGCGUUGUGCCUCGGUCGGAUGUGGAACGUCGAGAGUGGGUCUGCCAAUCGACUCGAGGCAUGGACUGACAUGAAUUGUGAUGGUUUCCCAAGCCCAUGUUGUUGACAUGCUCGUGGAGACGUCAUCAAUGUGAUUGUGGUUGGAAGCGUGCCAUUUGGUGUGCUUCGGUACGUACGUGCUCUGGGCGUCGGCUUGCAGGCUCCCCAUUCGGCCCGUCUUGAAACACGGACCAAGGAGUUUAACAUGUGUGCGAGUCAGCGGGCAAGUAAACUCGUAAGGCGCAAGGAAGCUGAUUGGUGGAAUCCUCUUGAUUGACCCUGAUCUUCUAUGAAGGGUUCAAGUAAGACCAUACCUAUCGGGACCCGAAAGAUGGUGAACUAUGUCUGAGCGGGGCGAAGCCAGAGGAAACUCUGGUGGAGGCCUGCACUGAUACUGACGUGCAAAUCGUUCUUCUGACUUAGGUAUCAGGGCAAAAGACUAAUCGAACUGUCUAGUAGUUGGUUCCCUUUGAAGUUUCCCUUAGGAUAGUUGGAGCUCGUAGGCGAGUUCUACCAGGUAAAGCCAAUGAUUAGAGCCAUCAGGGGUGCAAUUCCCUCAAUCUAUUCUCAAAAUUUAAAUAGGUAGGACAGCGUGGCUACUUUGUUGAGCCACACCACGGAAUCGAGCCUGGGUGGAGCGGUCAUCGGUGCAGAUUUUGGCGGUAGUAGCAAAUAUUCAAAUGAGAACUUUGAAGGCCGAAGAGGGGAAAUGUUCCAUGUGAACUGCACUUGCCCAUGAGUUAGUAGAUCCUAAGGGAUGGGGGAAGUCUGCCUGAUAGCGCUCUAAGCGCGCACUCCGAAUGGGAAUCAAGUUAAAAUUCCUAAAUUAGGACGUGGCGGCUAACACCAACGUUAUGGAGUUCAGAGACGUCGGUGGGGGCCCUAGAAAGCAUUAUCUUUUCUAUUUAUCAGCCUGCCCAGACUGGAAACAGCUCAGCCAGAGGUAGGGUCCAACAGCUGGAAGAGCACCACACAUCGUAUGGUGUCUGGUGCGCCCUCAACGGCCCUUGAAAAUCCGGAGGACCGAGUGCCUCCCACACCCGGUCGUACUCAUAACAGCAUCAGGUCUCCAAGGUGAACAACCUCUGGUCAAUUGAAAAAUGUAGGUAAGGGAAGUCGGAAAAAGUGAUCCGUAACCUCGAGAAAAGGAUUGGCUCUAAGGGCUGGCACGGGGGUCUAAGUCUCGAACCCGUCGGUGGUCGAUGGACUACUCGAGCUGCUCUUGCAGCAAGAGCGGGUUGCCGCGUGCUGAUCGGGGGACAGAUUGGGAACUGGCCCUUCGGGGUCUCUUCCCUGGGCGUCGAAUAGUCGAAUGUUGACGCAAUGUGAUUUCUGCCCAGUGCUCUGAAUGUCAAGGUGAAGAAAUUCAACCAAGCGCGGGUUAACGACAAGAGUAACUAUGACUCUCUUAAGGCAGCCAAAUGCCUCGUCAUCUAAUUAGUGAUGCAAAUGAAUGGAUUAACGUGAUUCCCACUGUCCCUGUGUACUAUCGAGCGAAACCACAACCAAGGGAACAGGCUUGGCGUAAUCAACGGGGAAAGAAGACCCUCUUUGCCUUGAUUCUAGUCCGACUUUGUGAAAUGACUUGAGAGGUGUAGGAUAAGUAGGAGUUGGAAACAUCGGAAGUGAAAUACCACUACUUUUAACGUUAUUUUACUUAUUCCGUGAAUCGGAGGCGGGGCGCACCCCUAUUUUGGACCCAAGGCUGGCCUCGGUCGGUCGAUCCGGGUGGAAGACAUUGUCAGGUGGGGAGUUUGGCUGGGGCAGCACAUCUGUUAAAAGAUAAAGCAGGUGUCCUAAGAUGAGCUUAACGAGAACAAAAAUUACGUGUGGAACAAAAGUGUAAAAGCUUAUUUGAUUCUAAUUUCCAGUACGAAUAUGAACCAUGAAAUCGUGGCCUAUCGAUCCUUUAGUCCUUCAAAAAUAUGAAGCUAGAGGUGUCAGAAGAGUUACCACAGGGAUAACUGGCUUGUGGUAGCCAAGCAUUCAUAGCGAUGUUGCUUUUUGAUCCUUCGAUGUCGGCUCUUCCUAUCAUUGUGAAGCAGAAUUCACCAAGUGUUGGAUUGUUCACCCACCAAUAGGGAACGUGAGCUGGGUUUAGACCGUCGUGAGACAGGUUAGUUUUAAUCAUGACAGUGUCACAAUAGUAAUUCAACCUAAUAUGAGAGGAAUCGUUGAUUCACACAAUUUGUCAUCGCGUUUGGUUGAAAUGCUAUUGGCGCGAAGCUACCAUGCGUUAGAUUAUGACUGAAGGCCUCUAAGUUAGAAUUCGGGCUAGAAGCAUUGUGUGUGUCCGUCGCCCGUUUGCCGACCAGUAGUAUGGGGCCUCGGCCCCCUAGAGGCACGUGCCGUUGGUGAGCCCUAUGGGGUGGAUGAGCCUCGCUGGACGCAUUGAAGCGCUAUUCCUAAUUGAGCGGCGGGUAGAAUCCUUUGGAAACGACUUAAAUACGCGACGAGGUAUUAUAAGUGGCAGAGUGGUCUUCCUACCAUGAUGCACUGAGAUUCAGCCCUUGCCGCUUCGAUUUAUUACUCCCAUCUCAAACCUUUUUUUGAGCUAGGUCGUACAUCCUACGAGGGUCACAAAUCUGCACCUCGUAUGGGCAUCGAGGCGAGAAGGUGCAAAGUCCGUGUUCCACAAGCACACAUUAGAGAAAAAGUCACUUACAAUGUAGAGUGCGGCAUCGCCUCUAGACAUGCGCCAUGGUGCCUUGUAUGUGGUUCAUAGUGUCCGGUGGUUGGGGUGCUUUGUGCAUGGUGUGUUUCCUCAUGCGUGAUCCCAAGUGCAAGGUGAAAGAGAGGCCACGACACAUGUGUCCAAGUGAUACUAGGUGAAAUUGAGGCCAUUAUACCCUUUCCGAGUGCUAGGUGAAAGUGACCCAUUCUGUGGAACACUUUCCGAAUGCUAGGUGAAAGUGACCCAUGCCAUGGCACAUGGUUUGAGUGCUUGGUGAUAAGUGACAUAAAUGCCUAAAAUUCAUAUACUUUUUAUGGCACUUAUCCAUGGAAAAUUUGAGAAAACCAACUUAAUUCAACACUUUUUGAAAAAAAUCACAAUCUUGUAUAUAUGCUUCGUGUAUUUCUUUUGAAUUAUAUUUUGCAGGAUUUAGGAGGAAAAGAUAAGAAUUAAUCAAAUGCAAGCAAAGUGCUCAAAAUAGGCCAACAUGAUCCACACAUGACGUGCUUAAAAGGACUUGGCAUAUGUGGAAAGUAUGGAGUCAAUAUGAAGCUGCUCACUAGCACCUUAGCUUGGACCAAACCCAUGCCUAGCUGACCUGGACACCAACCAAGCACGACCAGACCCAACCUGGCACGGUCAAAACACAAGCAUGGCACAAGCCAACCUGCUCAAGCAGACAGCUUAGUGGAGCACCUAGACCACCCAGCUAGGAACCAUACACAGUUGAAAGCGUUAUUCGGUGUUUAUUUUAGUUGGGAGUUUUCUCCUCUCAAUAAAUCGUCCUGACAGUAGUGUCAAUUUUUUGAAAGAUUAAUACUCUAAUUUUUGUUAUGUUCCUCUUAUAAGUAAGAGAACUCGAUUUUAUUCUUUGUUCGCCAUCUCGGCUUUGUUGAAAUAAAUUCCAACGCCGGUAUAAUGGUUUCAAGAAUAUUCCAGUUACAACUUAUUUUCUUAAUAAUCAUGUGAAUAAGUCAUUCCUUCUUUGCCCCAUCUCGGCUUAGUUAGAAUAAAUUCUAACGCCGGUAUAAUGGUAUCGAAGUAAUUACCUAUUACAUAAUUAUUAAGUACCUUUGAAUACCAUCUCGAUUUUUGUGGAAUAAAUUCCAACAUCGGUUUAAUGGUAUUCUAAUAUAUAAAAGUGAUGAAUAGUUAGUUGUUAGAUGCAAAUAAAUAAAUAAAGAAAAAAAGAAUAAUAAAUUUAGUGACCUUUAUUUAUUUACUCCAUUUCUGGUUCAUUUUAUUAACAAACCAAACUUAUUCCUUAAGGAAGGUUGGUAUUAAAGAAUAAAUAAAAUGCGGAAAAUAAAUAACAAUAAAUAAAAGUUAGUAAGUUAGUUUCAUCACUUUUGUAUAUUAAAAGGUGUUUUCAACAAAUAAAUUUAUUGAUAACACUUUACUAUNAAUAAUAAUAAAUUUAGUGACCUUUAUUUAUUUACCCCCUUUCGGGUUUAUUUUAUUUAACAAAACAAACUUCUUCCUUAAGGANNNNNNNNNNNNNNNNNNNNNNNNNNNNNNNNNNNNNNNNNNNNNNNNNNNNNNNNNNNNNNNNNNNNNNNNNNNNNNNNNNNNNNNNNNNNNNNNNNNNGGAAUUGCCUAAUAAAAUGAAUCAUAUAAAUAUGUCAAUGCACAAAUAAUGGAGUUGAACAUAUUUUGAUGAUUUUGAAUUGAAGUGAAUAUAAACAUAAAACUGAAUAUUAACAAAUUCUUGAGGAGACAAAAUCUUUUUGAAUAAGGAAAAUAUAUUUCUCAUCUUCUUUUGAGUUUGAACUACUUAGAGAAUUUCUUAUGUUUUACUUUGGUUAACCCCAAACACCAAGGUCUGAAAUCCUCCUUUUAGUGUAUAUCCUAAAAUGGUAGAAUGAUGAACACUUAUAUUUAUUACUUAAACAAUACUAUGGCCAUAAAAGAGAUUAGGUUGUCAUUCCCUAACCAUUGGCGACUCUAAUAUUGAAUGAGUGAUGAAUGUAAGAUCUUAAGAAAAGCAUGCUUAACUUGGCAAAUAAACUAAGUAUUACAACUACUUCUUAGUUUAUUUGUUAAGUGUUUGAGACAAGUAAUUUUAUUGACUUGAAAUCAUUUUUUAGGUGAUCAAUCUAAAAAGAGCAUUAAGUACUUCUCAAACAAAUAUUAUUAACCAAAGCACCAACUUGAAUGAUUAAAAUCCAAACUUUUGUAAAUUAAGAAGAAGUAGAAAUUACAUAACCUUGUUCAAAAGAAAAUGUUUAUGAGCAUGAGCCAUCCAUCCAAGGAUUGGAUGCUUUUGAGUUCCAAAUGAGAGUAACAAAUUGAUUUUUGCAUCUCAUUUGCCUUCUCCUUUUCUCCUCUUGAAUUCUAUGAAAAACUACUCUAAAACUAGCCUAAAAACUACCUAAAAUGAAAGGAAAAGAAGAGGAAUCAACUAAGAAGAAUUUAGAAUGAAUUUAUAAUCUUUUACAAAUGAGAAUUUCGUGCCUUUUUAUAGGCCAAAGGGCUGGAUGCUCAGUUGCCUUGUUUGGCAACUAAGUUGCUCACCUUUGGCCCCUAUGAAGAGCCACUUUGGCCCCUACUUGACCCCUAUGGUGGGCUAGUUUACAUGCAUGGUGGCACGUCCUCCUUCUUGUCAUAGCCUUAUGUCAUCCAUGAGGUCAUGUUCUUGGCCUUUAAGCAAAGAAAAAGUAAGAUGUUCCAUGAUUUGACCAAAAAAUCACUUUUCUGGUGCGCCAGCCGCUUAGCCCACCUGUUUCCCUGCUAAGCUGCAUGUUUCAGCCGCUUGGCUGACCUGGUUCCCCGCUCAGCUGCAUGUUUCAGCCGCUCAGCUGACUGGUUCUACGCUGAACUGCCUGUUUCAGCAGCUUAGUUGACCUGGCCUGGUGCUUGGUGCUGGCUGACCUGGCCUGGUGCUUGGUGCCUAGCAGACCUGGCCUGGUGCUUGGUGCAUGGCUGACCUGGCCUAGUGCUUGGUGCCUGGCUGACCUGGCAUGGUGCUUGGUGCUUGGCUUGGCUGGACAGCUUUGUGCUUGAUUUCUUCAUGGUGAAGCAACCUUUUUUCCUUUGGUUUGUUACUUGAUUUUUGUUGGUUGCUUGGCACUUUUGGGCUGUUUUCUUUAAGUUAAGGUAAGCAUUUGAUUUUUGCAAGUUGCUUGGCCUACCUUAACAUAGGUUUCUUCAAGACGAAGUAAGCUACCUUUCUUCAAGGCUAAGUAACCAAAUUAAGCACAUAGCAUGCCAUGCUUUAACUUGAUUACUUUUAGCAAUUCAUUUUGAGCUUUUGUCUUGAAUUUUGGCUUGAAUUCUUAUCCAUCUUUGAAUUUAUUCUUUAAUAUUCAAUUUCCUACAACUCAAAGAAAACUUGGACAAGAAUUAAUAAAGAACCAAUUUAUUUAAUCAUGCAAAAUUCACCUAAAAAGUGUUAGUUUAAGUUGGUUUUCUACAAUUUGCAUAGGAUAAGUGCCAUAAAAUGAUGGUGAAAAGUGUAUACUUUUGGCACUUAUCACACACCUGACUAGAUCAACAAGCAAUAAGCCACAUCACCAUCAGCACAGUGAAAUAACACAUAACUUGUAAUGUUUUUAAAAUCAAUUGAGUAUAGAAAUAAUUCCAUAUUUCCAACCAAUUUUCUCCUCAAGAAUUUGUGCAUAUUAGUUGUUUAUGUUUAUAUUUGCUUGUUAAUAUUUCAUGAACAAAAUCAAAUCAAAAAGAUGAUUAAACUUUAUUAGUUAUAUAACAUGUUUAUAAUAAUGAUCUAUUAGGCAAUUCAUUGUGGUUCGACAUAACCAUUUACUAUGCUACAAUUGAAUCUGGAAAGAGAUGCAAAUGUAAAAUACUAAAGUGUUUACUUAUAAAUUUUAUUUGUUGACAAAGAAAUAAACCUUGAAUCAAAGUGCAAUUUAAUCCAUAAAUUGUAUCUUUGUGAAAAUGAUAAAUACAUAGUCAUAAUGAAUGACCCAACUACUAACUUUUACUCUCUCUCAUUUAUUUUCUGCAACUAACAUUUAUUUUCUAUCAUUUAAAUUAUGUAACUAACAUUUAUUUAUUGUUUUAUUUAUUUAUUCUUUACCAACCUUCCAUACGGAAUUAGUUUGGUUAAUAAAGGAAAACAAAAAUAAAUAUUACUCAUUAACCCUUGUAUUAAAUUGCUAAAUUCAUACCAUUAUACUGGCGUUGAAAUUAAUCCAACAAAGUCGAGAUGAUAUGAAAUUGUUAAUAAUUCAAUAAAGCUAAGUGUUUGAUUAAAGGAACAUUCUUGAAACCAUUAUAUCGGCGUUGGAAUUUAUUCUAACAAAGCCGAUAUGGCGAGCAAAGAAUCGACUUGUCCUUAAAUAAAUUAAUAAGAAACUUACCUCAAUAACUAGAAAGAAAACUCUUUCAACAAAUUGGCGUCGUUGCUGCGGAAUUGCCAAAUAAUAGAAAUUAUUAUUUACUAUGCUAUAUUAUUAAUAAUCUUGUACAAUAGUAUUUUUAUUUACUUUUUUCACAAAUUAAUUUGAAUUUGUAUAAAAAUUUAAAUUACAAACUUUGUAAAUUCAUGUCUUUUUCUUAUUAAUCUUUCUUCAUAAAUAGACAGAUUUCCUUUUUAUUGUUUUUUUUCAGAAAAAUGGAUCAACAUAUCAACAUCCAAAUUGAAAUAGACACUUUCGUAAAGGAUUUUCAACAUAAGCUCAACAAAGUACACCAAAAGUUACAACAAUUACCAAAAUAGUUCGAGAAAGAACAACACUUUUGAUGUCAUGGUUGUGCCAAUUAACAGUCUGUCUGUUUCAUCAAUACCCACUCAACAUCUCACUAGUCUCAAAAGAAACUAGAGGAAAUACUAGAACAAUUCAUGUAGACAACUAUCAAGCAUCAACAAAUCACAUACGAUGCUAUUAAGAAUACGGGGAAUCAAAUCAGAUGCAUAGUUGAACAUCAUUCAACUAUUUCAGAGCAUUGAAUAGGUAUCAAAAUCAGAAGUGGAAAACGGUGGGAGGAGUUAUUGGAAAAAAAGGAAAAGAAAAAGAAGAAGAAAAAUAAAAAGAAAAAGAAAAAAAUGAAAAGAUGUACAUAAAAAAAUAGAUGUACCAGAAACUAGCGGGGAACAAAAGGAAGACAAACAAUACCCACUAGUUCAGGAAAAAUACCCUACCCCACAACCCCAUCAAAAGCAAAGAAGGAAGAGGAGUUUGCUUGUUUUAUGGAAAUAUUCAAAUCAUUACAAAUCAAUAUUUCAUUUUUUGAAGCCAUGGAACAAAUGCCUAUGUAUUCCAACUUCAUGAAAGAACUGCUAUCAAAGAAGAGGAGCCAUAAGGAGAAAGAAGUUAUCCAACUUAAGGCAACUUGAAGUGCAAUCCUUCAGACUAACAUCCCUCAUAAGCUAAAAGAUCUAGGAAGCGUGACUAUUCUAGUCACAAUUGGGGAAGUUUUCAUAGGCAAAGCACUUGUUGAUCUCAAUUCAAGUGUUAGUCUAAUGCCACUUUUAAUGAUGAGGAGAAUAGGAGGGUUGCAACUAAAACCAACCAGAAUGUUUCUGCAACUAGCUAACAGAUCCAUUAAAUAUCCGGAAGGAGUUGUAGAAGAUGUGUUGGUAAGAGUGGAUAAAUUUCUAAUUCCUGUAGACUUUGUUGUAAUUGACAUCUCCGAAGAUGUGGAAAUCCUACUCAUUCUAGGACGUCCAUUCAUGAGAACAGAAAAAUGGGGAUAGACAUAGAAAAUGGGAAACUAAUAGUUCGAGUAGAAAAUGAUGAAAUUCAAUUUGAGAUUUUCAAAGUAAUGUAUCACCCAAGAGAUAAGGGAAAUUUGUUCCAUAUCGAUAUUCUUGAAGAAAUCUGCUCAGAACAGCCUCAACCUGAUAACUCUUAAGAGAUGCAAGAACUCAAUCUGGAGGAUGGAAAGAAAAAUUGAUCAUAAAUUUUUUGAUAAUCAAUUUUCUCCUAAAAUGAACCAAGGUGGAGAUGACAAAAAAAAACAAGAACUUGACUUGAAGGAGUUACUUUCACAUUUAAAGUAUUUGUUUUUAAAAGGUAACUCCAACAAACCAGUUAUCAUCAACAACUUGUUUUCCACCUUGGAAGAAAGUAGAUAGAUACAAGUCUUGGAGAAGCACCAACAUGCGAUUGGUUGGACUUUGAAUUAUUUAAAAGGAAUCAGUCUUUCUUACUGCAUGCACAAAAUCAUGAUGGAGGAUGAUUUCAAACCAGUAGCUCAACCACAAAGGAGGCUCAAUGAAAGAAGUUGUUCGAAAGGAAGUGGUGAAAAUGAUAGAAGUUGGAAUGAUUUACCCCAUUUCAUACAUCAAAUGGAUAAGUCCUAUUCAAGUGGUGCCGAAAAAAUGAGGAAUAACGGUACUCUGAAAUGACAAUAACGACCUCAUUCCAACCAGAGUUGUUGCUGGUUGGAGGGUAUGUAUGGAUUAUCGCAAACUCAAUGCGGCCACCAAAAAAGACCACUUCCCCUACCCUUCAUGGAUCAGAUGCUGGAAAGAUUAUCAUGGCGGGCCUUCUAUUAUUUCCUAGAUUGUUAUUCGGGAUACAACCAAAUUGUUAUGGAUCCACAAGAUCAAGAAAAGACGACAUUUACUUGUCCUUUUGGUGUCUAAACAUACAGAAAGAUGUCAUUUGGAUUAUUCAAUGCUCCAGCUACUUUUCAAAGAUGCAUGCUGGCUAUUUUUGUCGACUUGGUGGACAAAUGCAUUGAGGUCAUCAUGGAUGAUUUUUCAAUAUUUGGAGAUUCUUUCGAUUUAUGCCUUCAGAACCUAGAGAUAGUAUUGGAAAGAUGUGUUGAGACCAACCUGGUACUAAAUUGGGAAAAAUGCCAUUUCAUGGUCACCAAAGGCGUUGUUUUGGGGCACAAGAUUGAAGAAAAGGGGUUGAAGUUGAUAAGACAAAAGUAGAAGUCAUAGAGAAGCUUCCACCACCAACAAAUGUUAAAGGCAUUAGAAGCUUUCUAGGACAUGCUGGAUUCUACUGCUGCUUUAUCAAAGACUUCUCCAAAACAACUAAGCCCCUUUGCAAUCUUCUCCUUAAAGGUUCUUCUUUUAAUUUUGAUAAAUCUUGUUUAGAAGCAUUCAAAACUUUGAAAAAUUGCUUGGUAACCGCCCCUAUCAUAAUUGCACCAAACUGGGAUCUACAUUUUGAACUAAUGUGUGACACUAGUGAUUACGCAGUUGGUGCAUUUUUGAGACAGAGGAGGGAGAAGGUGUUCCAUGCAAUACAUUAUGCUAGCAAAGUUUUAAACAAGGCUCAAGUUAACUACGCUGCAACAAAAAAAGAAUUGCUAGUUAUCGUAUUCGCAUCGGAAAAAUUUAGAUGUUAUUUGAUUGGGGCCAAAAUUAUUGUUUUUACUAAUCAUGCUGCAAUCAAAUACCUCCUAAAGAAAUCCGAUUCCAAGCCACGAUUAAUAUGAUGGGUGCUACUUUUACAGGAAUUUAACUUGGAAAUCCGUGACAAAAGCAGGAAAGAUAAUCUUGUGGCCGAUCAUUUGUCACGAUUAAUCAAUGAAGAAGUCACAGAAUGAGAGAGAGAAAUAGCUUAAGCAUUUUCAAAUGAAAAGCUAUUUCUCCUUCAAUAAAGACCAUGGUUUGCUGAUAUAACUAACUACAAAGCCUCAGGAAUUAUUCCUGAUCAUUUCAACUAUCAUCAAAAGAGGAAAUUUCUCAAGGAGGUCAAUCAUUACGUCUGGGACGAGCCAUACUUAUUCAAAGAUGGAACUGAUAACAUAAUUCGAAGGUGUGUUGAUUCGAAGGAGGCUCAUAAAAUUUUAUGGCAUUGCCAUAAUUCUACUUAUGGAGGACACUACAAUGGAGAAAGAACUGCUGCGAAAGUACUCCAGUCUAGUUUUUUCUGGCCCUCUAUUUUUAAAGAUGCCAAAAAUUUUGUUCAAAAAUGUGAUGCAUGCCAAAGAAAUGGCUGAAUUGGAAAAAGAAAUGAAAUGUCGUUGCAAAAUAUUUUGGAAAUAGAAAUUUUUGAUUGUUGGGGCAUUGAUUUUAUGGGUCAUUUCCCAUCAUCGUUUUUGAAUGAAUAUAUCUUGGUAGAUGUUGAUUAUGUUUCUUGAUGGGUAGAAGCAUUAGCAACACCAAAAGCGGAUGGAAUAACAUUUAUAAAAUUUUUGAAAAAGAAUAUUUUUACCAGCUUUGGAACACUAAGAGUACUCAUAAGUGAUGGAGGUUCUCAUUUUGUAAACACCCAAUUACGCAAGGUUUUGGAAUUUUAUAAUGUUAAGCAUAAGGUAGAAUCACCUUAUCACCCAUAAACCAAUGGGCAAGCUAAAGUAUCCAACAGAGAAUUGAAAAGAAUUUUAGAAAAGACAGUCUCUUCCUCAAGGAAAGAUUGAUCACAAAAUUUGGAUGAUACUUUAUGGGCAUAUAGAACUGCAUUUAAGUCACCAAUAGGCCAAACUCCAUACCAACUAGUUUACGACAAAACUUCUCAUUUACCAGUUGAAUUGGAGCAUAAAGCCUAUUUGGCACUUAAUUUUUUAAAUUUUGAUUUGAAUGAUGCAGGAAUAAAAUGAAAGAAUCAAUUACACCAAUUAGAGGAAGUGAGGUUCCAAGCUUAUGAAUCUUCAAGAUUGUAUAAAGAAAAGGCUAAAAAGUACCAUGACUCCAAAAUUCGAAGAAAAGAUUUCUAUAAAGGUCAAAAGGUACUCUUGUUUAAUUCAAGAUUAAAAUUGCUUCCAGGAAAAUUCAAGAGCAAAUGGUCAGGGCCAUUUGUGAUAAAAGAUGUUAAAGAAUAUGGAGCAGCUGAAUUGGAAGAUCCAAAGUCUCAAACAAAUUGGACAGUGAAUGGGCAUAGGUUAAAACUCUACUUGGGUGAUGAAUCAGGCUGCAUCAUUGAAAUUGCAUCAGAAUGACCUCUACAGUUGACAUAGGCAUCAAGCUAUUGACGUGAAACGAGCACUUGCUGGGAGGCAACCCAAUAGUUGGUUAGUUCGUGAAUUUCUUUUUAAUUUAUGGUAUGUUUUGUGUUAAAUUAAAGUUUAUGUUUAGAAGUAAUAUGUUAUUCUUUAGAAAAUUUCAUAUGCAUCAAACAUCUCCUUCAAACCAAAAUUUCCGUUGGCUUGAGGACAAGCCACCAUUUAAAAAGGGGGAACAUGGUUUAAUGCAUAUGAAUUUUUUUAAAGAAAGUUAAUAGUAUAUAUAAUAUUGUAUAGUUAUUUCAAAAGUAAUUUAGUUGUCCAUAAAACUCAAAAAUAAUUUCAAAACCGAAAUCAAGUUGGCUAAAUAAAUAAAAUAUUUGUGGCAUGAUUACAUGAUUAGAAAUUUCUAAAGAUAUCUUGACUUAUAUACUAAACUUUUUGUGAAAACAUCACAUAAUAUCAUAACUUGAAAAUUGUUUUGCAAAUGGAAAUUAAAUUUGUGUAACAUGAUCUUUGCAAACACUUUUUAAAUCAAGAAGUGUAAAUCUAACCCAAGUGAGGGAGUGAGCCAAACACGUGAGGGUAAAAGUUAAAUCACCAUUUGAUUUGUCUAAUUCAACUUGUUUGAGUCUUUAAAUCUCUCCAUUGCAUAAGAUUGAUAGGAAGUGAUUAAGGCAUGUUAUUUCUUUAGUUGAACCAAAUGGCCAAAAUGUCUAACCAAAAAUUACGAUUAUCCUUUGAUAACCCCCUUUUGAGCCAAACAAAGUAAAACAUUUUUAAAAAAUUAUCCCAUGAAAACCGAAAUUGAAAACAGUAUUCUAAAACAGAGCAUAAAUUAUCCCAUGCUUUAGGAUUGAGUGCAUUUCAUGUUAUAAUUUCUCAUGUUUUCCCUCACAUGUUCAUGCAUAUUUUGAUGCUUUUUCAUGAAGUUUUAUGAUUAUGUAACUUCUGUUUUCAUAACCAAUACUUGUCAUUUCACAUGAGUUUGUGUUAGAUGUGCAUUAGAGUAAAGCCUUCUUGUUAUAUUUGAGCUUAGAAAUAGCUUUAUUUUACUCUUGUAAUUGUUGUAUAAUUGUUGUAAAGGGAAUCUCGUGGUGUCUUAUCACCGUUAGAGAUUGAGUGUUUCUUCAUUGCUUAGAGUGUAAGAAAAGGAAAGAACGAGAGAUUCUUUGGCUGGGGCUACGCCGAAAGAAACGUUUUCUUUAUCGGUAGGAAGGGAGUCAAAAUCGAUUAAUUUGUAUAUUGGAUUCAAUUGAUACAUUCUGUUCAUUUGCUGUACUGGAUGCUAUUCUGAUAUACAAUCUGUAAGCUCUGUAUUCGUUCCGUUAUCGGUUAACUGUUCUGCAAUUAAUCAUUUUUUGUAAUAACUUACUGUUUGUGUUUAAUCGAUUAAAAUUGUUGUGUUAAUCGAUUAUCCUGUUUCUGUUAAUCGAUUAAAAUGGUUUCUGUUAAUUGAUUAAAACUGUUUUUUGUUAAUCGAUUAAGAUUGUGCAAUUAAUCGAUUAUCUUCUUUCAUUAAUCGAUUAUCUUAGGGGUGUUUCAGCAUAUAUUGUUGAGUUGUAAAAAGCGGCUAUUCUAACCGCGACACCUAUUCAACCCCCCUUCUAGGUGUAUUAUAACCACUGAUACCUAACACAUGAAUCUUUGCUCUUAUUUUCUUCAUUUUUUUUCCUACAAAAUAUAUAAAAAGGCAAUACCAAAACAAAUAUACCAAAUUGUGAUAUUUUAUAAAAAAAAGUAUUGUUUUAAGUUGGUUUUUCUCAAUUAUGCUUAAGAUAAGUGCCAUAAAAGUGUAUGAUUUUUAGGUAUGUUUGGCACUAAUCAAAGCUCAUGCAAGAAAACUCAAAGACACAUCAACAUAGAUUUGAAACUUUUUAGCAUAGUGAAUAUUUGAUUCUCCCUCUCUCAGAUAUUUUUCGGUUCUUGCUUAAUGAAAGUGAAAAAACUGUUUUAAAAACAGAAUGGAUUUUGCUUCAAAAUAACAGAAUUAGCUCAUAACUUAUAUAACAGAUGUUAAUCGAUUAAAUGGCCACGUUAAUCGGUUAACGGGUUCUUUAAAAACAGGUUUUCAGUUAUGACUUAAUCGAUUAAAAUUCUGCUUAAUCGAUUAACAAGCAGAAAUCCUAGGAGGUCACAUUUUGUAACUCCAUUUAAUCAAUUAUGACUUUCCUUAAUUGAUUAAGGAUUUCUUCCAGGAUUUAAUCGCAUACCAACUGGGUUAAUCGAAUAAAAACACUUAAAAAUGGUUUUUCUUUUUAUGCGGUAAAUACCUUAUAUGAUGAAUGAACAUGCAACAUGAUUGUUAGAAAGAAUAAAGCCUUUAAGUAAAAAAUCAUGAAUGUAUGUAUGCAAAUGCAUGAGUGUCAUUUAUCAUAUAUAUGUAUGAUGAUGUUAUGCCUCAUUCUAUAUAAUUUUCCAUUUUAGACUUUUUUGUGAGACACUUUCAUCUUGGGUUUACCAAACCUAAGACUCAAUACUAGGCAAUCAACUUAGAACUCUAGAAUAUAAAAAGCAAUCCUAGACUCUAUGAUAUUGCCUUUGAGUUCUUGGCGUGUUGUUUGUUGAGAUAUCCAAGUCUUCAAGCUUUCAUAUUAUACUGUGUCUUCAUCAAAACUUUGUAGAUCAGUUAUAAUGGCAUCCUUUUUCUAUUUUCCAUUUAAAUCUCCCCCUUUUUGAUGAUGAAAAACACAUAAAUAUAUCCUUUGUUUGGUGACUUGAAGCUGGACAGAAUUUGUUUGCAUAUGGUUGAAUCAGAAUGCGCUGCUCCCCUCACUUUGUUCUCCCCCUCAAACCAUGUAAGAGGUAAUGCUAGGGUGGCAACAUGAAUACUUUGCGGAAGCUCAUUUGAACCUGCAAAACAGCUCAAACAACACAUUUCUCCCCCUUUUGGCAUGGUCAAACAGCUAUGGCAGAUUAUGAUACGUAAAAGCCAAAACUAAGUAAUGAUAUAUAUUGUUUACUAGUCUUAAUCGAUUAAAUAAUCAAGGAUAAUCAAUUAAGCAGUCUAUGAAAAAAUGUACAAGUGCACAUAGUUUUGAUUUAAUUGAUUAUAGAGUGUAGUUAAUUGAUUAUGUAUGAAUAAAAAUAGAUUAUGACAGCAUUGGUUGCGAGAAUUAUCUAGUCGUAUAAUUUCAACAUGAAUUUCAUAGAAUGAUCAAUGAACAGAUAGAAAAAUAUUCAGAGCAGAUUAAUCAUCCAACGGUAUAUAUAAACAUUUAGCUAACACCAAAUGUUAACGCAAGCAAUUUAAACAUAACCCUAAUUAGAAGCAAGUUUUACAAAAUGUGCGAAUAAGUGCAAAUGAGUACAUAGUUCAGCAAUAAGAUCAACAAUAUACAACCAAAAGAUUAUCAAAACACCAAAACAUAAUCUCUAAAGAAGAGCACAUCCACACCCUAGACACACUAGACAUUCCUAUCUAGGGUAAUCUUGUGUAGGUGGUGGUUGGGGUGAGCCAUGUGGAGCACGUGCAACUAACAUGACAAGUUCAAGCUCUUCAGAAAGUCGCUGCUACUACUGCUGAAACUCAGCUGCCAUGGAAUCCCUCAUGGUCUGAAAGUGUCCAUCAAUACGCGCAUUGAGGCGUUGUUCCAUAUCAUCUAGGUGAGCAAGCCCAAACGAUAGAUCUUGAGGCUCAGCAGAUGCCACUGAAGGUGGGUGCUCAGGGUUAGGCUCCCUAGGAUUUGCAGCAUUAUCUUCCUUUGGUGUAUCCCUAUUCACAGUAGCAUUAUGAUCCUCCUGAUAUUUCCAUUCAUCACCAUAUUUAUAAAGGCCCAUCUUGUGAAUCAGGUUAUCACCAACAAGAUGCUCUCAUGAAUUAGUUAUAAUAGUGUCCACGUGAGUGGUGUCAAUCUCGCAAUAAUCAUAAAUACGAGAAAUGAAUAUCCCAUAGGCGAGCAAUCUUGAUGAAGAUGAAGCUAAGCCCUGCAUAACAUUCAGUAUCUCCGAAGGCUAAUUCCCCACAAUGCCUUCCCGUAUGGCAAACAUCAGCUUGCGAUCAUUUACGGUGGGUUGAGCAUAGUUGGUAUUGCUUUAAACUAAUUUAUAUGCAAUCAGGUAAUGUAAAAUUCGGUUUUCAACAGACAAAGACCUUGCCUUGGUCAAUUCCCCUGGUACAAACAACUGAGGUCUUCUCAAGCAAGAUUUAUAAAUCUCAAUAGCAUCAAAUGAGUCUCAUGACUCAUUAUUACAAUCACCUAGUCUUGGUCCAUCAAACUCAAGACCUCCAACCUCCAAAAAUACCUUUUCCCCAUUACCAUCGAAUAAUAUUCCUCAUCCUUAUACCUAAAGUUGCUAUAUAAUUCUCUAAUCAGCGAAGGACAUGGCUUACCUCUCAAUUCCACAAAUUUAUUUACUACUUGAGUCUCUAACCCAUGCGGGAAUUGGAAGCCCUGUGAAACCAACCAUUCUGGAUCCGCGUACAGGAUGUAGGUUUGCUUAUGGCCUAGAAACUUGGCUAAUCUGGCUUCUUGAAGAAUUGGAGAGUAAUAAGGGUCUCCACGGUUUUUUCGUCCUGCUUGAGCCGAGGAAGAGCCCUUUUCUCUGCCUCUUGAAUGUUUGGCGGUACGUUUCACUCUUAUCCCUCUUGAAUCACUCAUUGUAGCAGGUAUAUCACUGGUUUUAAUCGAUUCCAUAAUCAAUUCUUGGAAAUGAGGGUUUUAGGGCUUCUAAAGAUGGAUAGGAUUCAUAUUAUUGGUGAUUUAUGGUUGAAUAUAGAUGGAACAACUAAAUUGCACUCGAAAUAGCUAUUGAUUUCUAUUGGAAUACUCCAUUUUGGGAAAAGAUUUAGAAGGGGGGGGGGGAGCAAAGAGGAUUAGGGUUCUAAGUGAAGAAUGACUCAAAAUGACACUUGAAUCUGAUAUAGCACUACCGUUAAUCGAUUAUCUACAGUGGGUUAAUCGAUUAACCAACUUAAAAUUUUCCAGAAAUUGGGGAUUUUGUUUCCCACGUAAUCGAUUAAAUUUUGACAAUAAUUGAUUAAUCAGUGAUAAUUUUCAAAUUUUCAAAAAUAUUGAGCCCAUGCAAUCGAUUAACCAGACUGUUAAUCGAUUAAAUUGCAAGAUGAAAAUUUUUUUUGGCUACUAGAACUCAAAUUAAUCGAUUAAGGCUCAGAAACAAUUGAUUAUUGAUAGAACUUAUCACAGAUUUCAGUGCAUUUUAUAGAUUUCUAGAGUAUGCUUAGAGGUGUAAUGCUAAGACACAAACCUAACGGGUUUCGACACACUAAUAGAGCAUAAAAACAUUCAUGAAUAUCAUCUAAACAAGAAAACAUGCAUUCAUAACACAUAUCAUUCAUAAGCAUAUAAUCAUGAUCAAGCAAAGGCACAUAAUUACUCUAGGAAAAUUAGUUUAAAUAUAUUUCAUCAAGUAUGCCAAGUUCUCGACCUAACACAUAUAAAGUAUCCUAUGGAAGGGGCUUGGUGAAAAUAUGUGCUAAUUGCUUCGCGGUUUCAACAAAUUCAAGAAUACAGUCACCUUUCUAAACAUGAUCUCUUAGAAAAUGAUAUCUAAUCUCUAUAUUCUUAGUUCUAGAAUGCAGAAUUGGGUUUUUUGAUAGAUAUAUGGCAAUAGUAUUAUCACAUUUUAUAGGAAUUUUUACUAGUUUUAAACCAAAGUUUGAUAGUUUCUACUUCAUCCAUAGGAUUUGAGCGCAACACACGCCUACGGCAAUAUAUUCGGCUUCAACGAUAGACAAAGCAAAACAAACUUGAUUUUUACUAUGCCAUGAUACUAGGGAGCUGCCUAAAAGGUGGCAAGUCCCGCUAGUAAUUUUCCGGUCUAACUUGCAUCCCUUAAAGUCAGAAUCAGAAUAACCUAUUAGGGAUAACGAAGCAUCCCUAGGGUACCAUAAACCCAUAGAUGUUGUUCCUUUAAGAUAUUUCAAAACACGUUUUACCGCACUAUAAUAAGAUUCCUUAGGUGAAGCUUGGUAUCUAGCACACAUACAUACACUAAACAUUAUAUCGGGUUGGCUAACAGUUAGAUACAAUAAAUAACCAAUAAUUCCACAAUAUUUUGUUACCUCAUUUGCUUUUCCUUUUUCGUCUUUGUCGAGAUAGCAGGAUGAUGUCAUGGGUGUCGUUGCUUCCUUACACUUAUCCAUCUCGAAUCUAUGCAAGAUUUCCUUGCAAUACUUGGUAUGGUGUAUGAAUAUCCUGCUAUUCGUUUGUUUUAUUUGCAACACAAGAAAGAAUGUCAGCUCGCCUAUCAUCGACAUUUCAAACUCUCCUUUUAGAAUGUCAGAAAAUUCCUUACACAACAAGUCGUUAAUAGCACCAAAUAUAAUGUCACCUACAUAAAUCUGUACUAAUAACACAUUAUUUUCUGAUUUUCGAAUAAAGAGUCUUGUAUCAACUUUGCCUCUUUCAAAUCCCUUUUCUAAUAAGAAACAUCUCAAUCUAUCAUACCAGGCUCUAUGAGCCUGUUUUAAGCCAUAUAAAGCCUUUUUGAGCUUAUACACAUGAUUAGGGAAUUUAUGAUUUUCAAAAUCGGGCGGUUGAUUUACGUACACUUCUUCUUGAAUAUAUCUAUUCAAUAACACACUGUUUACAUCCAUUUGAAAGAGCUUGAAGUUCAUUAUCGAUGCAAAGGCUAGAAACAUUCGUAUAGCCUCCAAUCUCACAACAGGGGCGUAGGUUUCAUCAUAGUCAAUGCCUUCUUCUUGAUUAUACCGUUGGCAACCAAACGUGCCUUAUUACGUAUAACCAAAGCAGACUCAUCUAGUUUAUUUUUAAAGACCCAUUUUGUGCCUAUUACGGGAUGAUCUUUCGGUUUAGGGACCAAGUCCCAUACGUUAUUGUUCUUGAACUGGUUUAGCUCUUCUUGCAUAGUUAUUCCCUAGUGUUCAUCCUCUAAGGCCUCAUAUGGUGUUAGUCUCAACCUGAGAUACAAAUGCUACAAAAUUAAAAAACUUUCUAAGUGAGUUUCGGGUUACCACUCCCAAUGAGAUAUCACCUAUAACCUUGUUGAGUGAAUGAUCCUUCUUUGUCUUCCACACUAUAGGCAUUUCUUGAUGAUCUACAUUUAUCUCCUAUUCAUCCUGAACCGCGUUAUCAUUCUCCAUGUUCUUUGUGUAUGCGUUUUCCAGUGCACCUAAAACAUCAUCGUACACAACCUUCCUCUUCUCUUUUGGAAAAGAUUCAUCAAAUUUUACAUGGAUAGAAUUUUCAAUUUGCAUAGUAUAUUUAUUAUAGACUCGAUAUGCUUUACUAUGUAUGGAAUACCCCAGAAAAAUUCUCUCAUAUGCUUUUGAAUCAAAUUUUCCUAAUAAUCUUUUACCAUUAUUUAAUCUGAAACAUUUACAUCCAAAAGCAUGCAAGUAAUAAAUAUUGGGUUUUCGGCCUUUUAACAAUUCAUAUGGCGUAUUUAAGAGUGUAGGCCUAACUAGUACUCGAUUGAUUACAUAGCCAGAAGUAUGCACCACAUCGGCCCAGAAAAAUUUGAGGACCUUGCUUUCAUUCAGCAUUGUCAUAGCUAGCUCAUCUAAAACUCGAUUUUUUCACUCAAAAACUCCAUUUUGUUGAGGGAUUCGAGGAGCCGAGAACUGAUGUAGGAUCCCAUGCUUUUCGCAAAACUUAUUAAAUAGGUGGUUUUCAAAUUAUCCACCAUGAUCGCUGCGAAAAUAGCCAAUUUUAUGGUCAAAUUGGUUUUGAAGCUAUUUUCCCAAAAUUUUAAAAGACUUGAAAGCAUCAGUUUUUAGAGCGAGAAACAAAGUCCUUGUAUACCUAGAGUAAUCAUCAACAAUUACAAGUGCAUAGUAGCUACCACCAAAGCUCAUUAUUUGUGAUGAUCUAAAUAAAUACAUAUGGAGUAACUCCAAGGGUCUAGUUGUGGAUAUCACAUUCUUAGUUGAAAACGAACUUUUCACUUGUUUACACUUUUGACAAGUGUCACAAGAAUCUUUUGAUUUGAAAUCAAGCUUUGGUAAUCCUACUACUAAAUCAUGUGAUGAUAACUUAGCUAGAUGUUUUAGAUGGACAUGCGCUACUCGUCUAUGCUACAACCAGAUGUCACUCUCUUUAGUGAUAAAACAAUUUGAAAACAGAGUGGUGACAUCAUCCAAGUUGAUCAUAUAAAUGUUAUUUAUUCGUUGCCCUAUAAACUUAACAUUAUUAUUUACCCCAUCACAAAUGAUGCAAUAGUUUGAGUCAAAAGAUACAUUGUUUCCUUUAUCGCACAUCUAGCUAAUGCUUAGCAGAUUGUGCGCUAGUCCUUCGACGUAUUGCAUGUUUUCUAUUACGACUUGUGAAGCAUUUCCAAUUCUCCCAACUCCUAGUAUCUUUCCUUUGUUGUUAUCUCCAAACGUGACAUAAACUUUACCGUUUAGUGAGAGAUCCAGGAACUUCGAUCUGUCACCUAUUAUAUGCCUUGAACAUCCACUAUCUAAGUACCAGUGUUGUCCCUAAGUUCUAAGGCAUACCUGCAAAGCAGUUUUACUUGCAUUGAUUAGGUACCCAAGUUAUAUUGGGUCCUUUCUUUUUAGUAAUCAAGGACUCUUGCCCUUUUCGUAUCCACAUAUAUUUACCACUAGGUAUUUCAUAUUUCCUAAUAGAACAUGAUAUAGUUGUGUGACCAUGUUUACCACAAUAAAAACAAGUAGGCAAUCUUUGAUUAUUCCUAUUAUGCAUGUAAUCUACUUGUGUCCUAUAUGGUCUUCCAUUUUUCUUUGGCUUAUAGCCAAGACCUCCAUGAUAACCUACAUUUCUAGAUGUAGCAAGUAGGUUGUUCAGGUUAUAACUACUAUAUGUGGAUUUUGCCAAUUUAUCUUUCAAAUCAUAAAUUUCAGAAUUUAAGACAUCACAAUUAUCACAUAUAGGGGGUUCAAUUAAUUUAGUGGCGCAACUACAUGAGGCAGAUGAGUAGAUGAGAUCUAGAGUUUCAUUUUCUAGUUUCAAUUUAUUUAAUUUCUCUUGCAUAUUAGUUAUUUUACUUUCAUGCAACAAAAUGACUCGUUUUCUAUCUACCUUUAUUUUUUCCAGUUUCUUAAGUUCCUCAUGCAACUCGAAAAAUGCACUAUAUAAUUCAUCGUAUAUGGGAGAGUCAUCUAAACACGAAGAAGAGUCAGAGAAAUGUACUUCACUCAUCCGGAUCGCUUGUGCUUCCAAUUUCAUGAGUGUUAGCCAUUAAGAACAAUUUGGCGGUUUCAUCUUCAUUGGAUGUGCUACUCUUCGUCUUGUCCUCCGAAAUAUACCAAACAAUGUAAGCCUUUUUGGAUUUGAAGUCUCGGGAGUUGCUUUUAUCGUGUUAAACCUUCUUGAGGUGACUCAGGCAUUUGUAUUGCAUAUGGCCCGGUUUGCCACACUCAUGGCAUAUGAGGCAAUCUUUGGGAGUUUUGCCAAGUCUGGUUAAUCGGUUGCCUCCUUCUUUUGGAAUCGCUUAAAUCCUCCUUUCCUCUUGAGAAACUUGCCAAACUUUCUGACUUAUCCUUGUGAAGAUAUAGCUUUCAUAGAGAUGCCCUUUUUUCGGUCUGAAUCUUCAUGCAUUGUUAAGCGGCUCAGCUCCAAUUCGUUUUCAUGGAGCUUGCCAAAGAGAGUUGCUAGUGGCAUAGUGUCUAAGUCCUUUGACUCCAUAAUUGUUAUUACCUUGGGCUUCCAUUUCCUAUCAAGACAACGCAACACUUUGUUAGUAAGUUCACCAAUAGAAAAAGUCUUAUCUAAAGUAAUUCAAUGAUUUAUUAUGAGUGAAUUGUUUUUGCAUUUCACUUAUCGAUUCAUUUGGAAACAUUCUAAACAAUUCGUAUUCAUAAGUCAAAGCAUUUAGUCGAGCACGCUUAACCUCACUUGUGCCUUCAUGGGUUACUUGCAAAGUAUCCCAUAUGUCCUUUGCAUUUAGGCAUUGUGACACCCGAAAGAAUCCAUCGUAAGAUAAGGCAGAGGUUAUAAUGUUCUUUGCCUUGAUAUUGUGCUAGACUUUACGUCUUUCUUCGUCAGUCCCCAACCCCAUUGGUUUUUCUUUAGGUUCACCAUCCACUAAGUGAAGUGGAGUGAAAGGUGUACCCCUCGCCAUUGAAAAUCAGAGUGUGGUUGAUGGAUGCGCCAUCACCGCCGAAGGAGUUUGUGGAACCCAUAGUGAUUAAUCAUUUGGAUCAACGAAUUAGCGGCCAAGCUAGCACUUUCAUACUAGCUCUGAUACCACUUAAUGGGUACCAAUAAGGUAUGAUUACACCUAGAGGGGGUGAAUAGGUGUCGCGGAUCACUAGUCCCACUUUUCCGAUAUUUGUGCAAAAUACAAAGCUCAUGUAGUUAAUCAAUUAUCAACAAGGUUAAUCGAUUAAAUACAUUUCAUUUAAUCAAUUAUGAUCAGAACGUUAAUCGAUUAUCCUGAUUGUUUUACUUUGAAAAUCAGUUUUCUCACUUCAUAAAAAUCAUGAUAAUUCUUGAUCUUUACUAUCCUAAGAUUGAUUCUUGACUAAUAGCAAAUUAACACAUCAUGCAAUUAAUCACAUUAAUCUAAUCAAAAUAGAAAGCAAUAAAGAUAAAAUUAUAAAAAGAUAGGAAUAGAGAAAAUGUGCUCGAGGAUUUUUAUCCUGGUUCGUUUGCAAUCCACUGGAAACUACAUCCAAGCCUCCCGGUUGAUAUGGGAGAUUUUUCUUCACUAAUCAGAAAUGUAAUGUACAACCACACUUCCAAUACAAUGAAACAAAAACUUCCUUCUUGAAAUCGAUGAGCCACAAUGCCCGGUUUGACCCCUUAUCUACGCCUACAUGAAUACCACAUCGUUCACGCAAUUUGGCCCCAACCGAAACUCUUGCUCGAGUCAAGACUUUAUAUCUAAUGAGGACUCCUAAUUCUCAACUUGUGAUGAUACCACACAUCACUAGAAUUCUUCUCAAAUUACAGAAUUUUAGCCGAGUUACUUUGCACACUAGAAUGUGCGGAUUACAACUCUAAAUACGGCUCUAAUCACCCUUGACAAAAAGAUCUCACAAACACAGCCCUAAGACCUAAUUAUGAAAUCAUGCAAGGAGUGUAUUCAAUUGAAUAAAAAAUGAUUUUGCGCAAUGAAAAUAUUUUCUCUCUAUUCUCUCUUUUCACUCUUGAAGCUAAUGCAAUAAAACUCAAAGAUAUAUGAAGAUACCUUUGAAACUUUUUAGUAUAGUGAAUCUUUGAUUCUGUCUCUCUCAGAUAUUUUUCGGUUCUUGCUUAAUGAAGGGGGAAAAUUUGUUUUAAAAACGGAAGGGAUUCUGUUUCCAAAUAACAGAAUUAGCUCAACACUGAUAUAACAAAUGUUAAUCGAUUAAAUGGCCACAUUUAUAGAUUAACAGGUUCUUUAAAAACAGGUUUUCAGUUAUGGCUUAAUCGAUUAACAAGCAGAAAUCCUGGGAGGUAACAUUCUGUAACUCCAUUUAAUCGAUUAUGACUUUCCUUAAUCGAUUAAGGAUUUCUUCUAAGAUUUGAUCGAUUACCAAUGGUUUUUCUUUUUAUGCGGUAAAUAUCCUAUAUGAUGAAUGAACAUGCAACAUGAUUUUUAGAAAGAAUAAAGCCUUUAAGCACAAAAUCAUGAAUGUAUGUAUGCAAAUGCAUGAGUGUCAUUUAUCAUAUAUAUGUAUGAUGUUAUGCCUCGUUCUAUAUGAUUUUCCAUUUUAGACUUUUUGUCAAACACCUCCAUCUGGGGUUUACCUAACCUAAGACUCAAUACUAGGCAAUCAACUUAGAAAUCUAGAAUAUAGAAAGCAAUCCUAGACUCUAUGAUGUUGACCUUGAGUUCUUGGUGUGUUGUUUGUUGAGAUGUCCAAGUCUUCAAGCUUUCACAUUAUACCUUGUCUUCAUCAAAACUUCGUUGAUCGAUUAUAAUGGCUUCCUUUAUGUCUCAUGCAACAAAGUGUGUUGCGGGCAGUUUGGCAUGGUUUUAGUCAAGGUGCGGUCGGUUAUGUCUCAUGCAACAAAGUGUCUCGUGUAGGCAUGUCCCUCAGAAAAGUGUAUGGUGUUGAGGUGCUCGUUUGGUCACACGGUGCUAGUUGGGUAGUUGUGGGCUUCCGUCCGGCUUGCCGAGGAUUCUAGGGUGUCUCGUUGUGCACGGAAGUAUGUGGUGUUUGGUGAAGCCCUUAGGGGUAGAUCCACAGCACGAAGGGGCACAAGUCCAAUCAACCCAAGGUGUGUUGUCGGCGAGUUUGCACGGUUGAAGUCAAGGUGUGGUCGUGUACGACCCGAGGAAAGACCACGGCUUGUGUAGGCUUGUCCCUUGAGAAAGCAUGGCCCGUUGACGCGUUUGUUUGGUCGCACAAUGCCGCCCAAUGCCCCAUCAAGCUUCCCCAAGCAUGCUGGUUCGCUUGUCCAUGGCAAUGUGGGCAAUCUGACCGAGUCAUCUUCCAUGUCGAAUCUCGGUCGUACGUGGCCAGGUGCAGGCUGGUCGUUCCGAAAAAUGUGUGCAUCGUCUUGAACAUAUCCGAAACCUAGCACUCAUUUGGGAUGCAUCAAGGGCUUGGCUUGUGCCUCGUGGUCUGACUCGAAAUUCUUGAUGUGUCCGUCUCACUUGUCGAGGAUCUGGUUUGGUGACUCGGUGACGGGUUGGUUAGUUGCGGGUGGCGGGCGUGCCAAGGCUUCUAGAGUGACCCUUCCUACAUGAAAGAUGUGGUGUUAGGUGAAGCCUUUAGGGGUAUAACCGCUGCAUGAUGGCGCGUAAGUCCAAUCAUCCGAAAGUGUGUUGUAGGCUGGUUUGCACAGUUGAAGUCAAGGUGUAGUCAUCUGUGAUGCUAGCAACAAUGUGUCUUGGGUAGGCUUAUCCCUCGGAAAUGUGUUGGUUGUUGAGGUGUUGGAUUGGUCACAUGGUGCCGACUUGGUAGUUACGAUAUCCCACGGGUGUUUUGAGGCUUCUAGUGUGACCAAUCUUGCACGAAAGAAUGUGGUGUUGGGUGAAGCCCUUAGGGGCACAGCUAUAGAACGAAGGGACGCAAGCCCAAUCAUCCGGAAGUAGUGUGUUUACGGCUGGUUUUCAUGGUUGAAGUCAAGGUGUGGGGGUGUAAGAGGCACACAAUAAUGUUUUGUGAUGUAGGCUUGUCCUACGGAAAUAUGUGCGCACCUCGGGAGAUAUGUGCACACCUAGGCGUAUUUGUUGCCUGUGAUACCCUUUUCGCCAAGGAAGGACAUGGUGUUAGGUGAGGCCUUAAGGGUUGAGUUGCACCGCGUAGAGGGUGAGCCUGUUCGUCGGAAGUGUGUUGUGGGAUAAAUUUUGAACCUUGGUCCCUAUCGAUUUUGGCGGUUACAUUUUCUGUUCGUGCCCGUCGUAGCGGAUCCGGCGGCACCAUGUGUUACCAUUUUAUUGAUUGCCAUUGUCAUUUCAGGGAGUGGUUCGUAUGGUACCGUCGAGUUUCCCUACGGGGAGGGCGCAUGAGUGGCAAUUGGGAUGUUUGUGCAGUCUGGCUCCAUGAUCAUGGUCAUCGAACUUUUAGCAUGCAACCCUUCCAAUGUUGGCCUUGUGUCAUUUCGGCCCUGACGUUCAAUUAGGGUUCUUGUGUUGCCUACUCGUUAAGUGGUAUUCAUGGGCUUCUUAUGACACGUUCCAUCCAUAACCCUUCUAGAAAUCAUUGGAGGAUUCGAAACUGAUGCAUGUGAUGUGUUAGUUGUGAAUUGUGAUGUGCUGCGUUCUCACACGUUUCUAGUGUUCCCUUGGAUGCGGUGCAUGCAGGGAACGUGGGCUGAUGAGUCUGCCCCGUUGAGUCCCUUUGAUUUAUCGAUUCCCUUCAAUAACAAUUUGUCAUGGUGUCGAUCUUGCUUAACCGUUUGUGGUCAAAACACUGGCAUGUGGAGCAAUAUCUUUGAUGAAUGCUACCUGGUUGAUCCUACCAGUAGUCAUAUGCUUGUCUCAAAGAUUAAGACAUUCAUGUGUUAGUAUAAACUAAUUCAUACUGUGAAAUUGCGAAUGGCUAAUUCCAUGAGUUAUAUUUUGUUUGAUGGUAUCUACUACUCAGAUAACCGUCGUAAUUCUAGAGCUACUACAUGCAACAAACCUCGACUUUUGGAAGGGAUGCAUUUAAUAGAUAAAAGGUCGACGCAGGCUCUGCCUAUUGCUUUGAUGAUUCAUGAUAACUCGUCGGAUCGCAGAACCUUUGUGCCGGUGAUGCAUCAUUCAAAUUUUUGCCCUAUCAACUUUCGAUGGUAGGAUAGUGGCCCACCAUGGUGGUGACGGGUGAUGGAGAAUUAGGGUUUGAUUCCGGAGAAGGAGCCUGAGAAACGGCUACCACAUCCAAGGAAGGCAGCAGGCGCGCAAAUUACCCAAUCCUGACACGGGGAGGUAGUGACAAUAAAUAACAAUAUCGGGUUCAUUGAGUCUGGUAAUUGGAAUGAGUACGAUCUAAAUCCCUU